rnacentral:lncRNA from 1 species
GCUGAAAUACUAUUGAUAGUAUGAGAAUAGAAUUUUCUAUGAACUUUUUGACCACUAGAUACAUAGGGUUUCGUGGGGGUUGGUGGAAUACUGUUUAUAUACUAUUAAUAGUAUACUAGCUCAACCCUCUUUCUCUAUAUGUAUAGUAGGACUACUGUACUAUUAUGAGUAUAGGAUCUUUCGUACUCAUAAGUCAUUUUCGAUGAUAGAUCUUCCGAAUUGAUGAUUCAUACCGUUAAACAUGAUCUAGAGCAUUUGAAAUUUCUAGAAACCAAAUUUCAUAAUUUUUUAAAAUUAUAAUAAAGUCCAUCAAACAUAAAAAUGAAUAGGUCAAAAUCAAACGACUUCCUAAAAUUAGAGGAUUGAAGUUUUCAAUUUAAGAUCGGAGUUAUUGAUCUUUAUCUAGAUAAUGAAUAGAACAUUUUAUCAAAAGUUUAACCAAUUUCGAUUCUUUUAACUGUUAACUAGCAACUAUCUCAUAUCGGCCGUUAAAAGUUAUCAACAUUGAGAUAUUUUGAUCAUAUGCAAAUGAUAUCGAAAAAUUAUAAAAUUUGGUUUCUAGAAGUUUAAAUGCUCUAGAUAAUGUUUAACGGUAUUUAUUGUUCAUUCGAAAGUUCUAUCAUCGAAAACGACUUAUAUUCGAAAGUUCUAUCAUUUUUUAGACCUUUUGAUCGCUUAGUAAAUGAUGUCAAAAAAUUAUAAAUUUGGUUUCUAGGUAGUUCCAAUAGGGUAGAUUAUACUUAAUGGAGCCGAUCGUCGAAUCGGAUGUUCUACCAUCGAAAACAACUUACAAGUACGGAGGUCUCCGUACUUUCAAAAGUACAGGAGACGUACUCUAUAUAUAUAUAUAUAUAAAUAUAUAUAUAUAGAAUUAUGCUACUAUACUAUCAAUAGUACCAAGCCCUUGGUACUAUUGAGUUUUCGGCCGUUGGAUAAAAGGAUGUGUGGUUAGGAUGAUAGUGGUCCCCGGUUAAAUUAAUAGUGGUCCCCUAGGGUUGAGUGAGUGGUUUGUUUAAUAUUAUAAUCUAACGGGUGGAAAUGAUCAAAAGGUAGAUCUAACGGUAGAAAACUCAAUAGUACCAAGGGCUUGAUACUAUCAAUAGUAUAGUAGCCGGACUCUAUAUAUAUAUAUAUAUAUAUAGAGUGAGGCUACUAUGCUUCUGGAAGCUACUAUGCUUCUGGAAGUACGGACUACGGAGCCUUCCGUGCUUUCAGGUCAUUUUUCAUGUUGCGACUUUCGAAUCGUCGAUCGGCUCCGUUAAACUUGAUCUAGAGUAUUUGAAGUAUCUAGAAAAUAAAUUUUGUAAUUUUUCGAUAUCAUUUGCCGAGUGAACUAAGGGGCUCAAAAUCAACGGCUGAAAAUAAAAAUCUUACAAAACGUGAUAAUAUGACAUUAAAAUUUUAGAUCAAAGAUAUUGAUCUUGUUUUAUAUAGUAUAAAGAAUUUUCUAUCAAAAUUUCAUGUGAUUUGGAUAUUUCUACACCAUUAAACUUGCAAACGGCUCACCACGGCCUUUAAAAUUAUUGAUUUUGAGCCCCUUCGAUCACUAGACAAAUGGUAUCGAAAAAUCAUAAAAUUUAUUUUUCAAGUACUUCAAAUACUCUAGAUCAAGUUUAACGGAGCCGAUCGACGAUUUGAAAGUCGCAAUAUCGGAAACGACCUGGAAGCAUGGAAGGCUCCGUGCUUCCAGACCCGUGCUCCGUGCUUCCAGAAGCAUAGUAGCUUCACUCUCUCUCUCUCUCUCUCUCUCUCUCUCUCUAUAUAUAUAUAUAUAUAGGAAAGAAGUUCUUUUCUGGACGAUUAAACUCUCAACAAAUUUGUCCUCUUUUUUGAAGCCAACGCCCCACUUUUUAUAGCCAUCUAAUUUAGCUUUUUUUUUUUUUUUAACUGCUGAAAUUUUCCAUUAAAAUCCCAAUGAACUUUCUGGUUUGAAUCUGAACCUCAAACUUCAGUUUGUUGCUAAUAUCUCUCACUAGUUUGUUGCUCAAUCCUCUCCCAUUUGAAUUUCAAAAUUCAAGUUUCGGUUCAGGUUUAGAAAGAGUUCAGUUUAAGUGUGUUUUUGGUUUGGUUAAGCUCAACUUAUUCAAUUGAAACAUAGGACCGAAAUUUAUCAAAAGAUUUACGUAUUGAAAACUAAUUUGAUGCCCGCAUCACCUUACUGGUGAAAUACACUAUCCCACCAACUCAGAGAAGCCGGGACCUUCUAAGAAAUAAAAAUUUUCAAAGCUUUCAUUUACAGUAAAAAAUUCUCAUACUAAAGAAGUUAAUACCAGAUAACUCAUUCCAACCUCCAAACAAAACCAAAACGAUUACCAGCGAGAGAGCGAUGCAACAACUUGCAAAAUAUGCAUCUGUUUGCAAACCUAUAUUUUGCCAGAGGAAUAUGAAACAACUGAGCUAUCCCCUGUUCCUGAAUGAUCAGAUGUAGGUGUACUUUCCAUACAUUUAUCCACCAACCGCCCUUGUGUUGAUCUUUGUGAAGCCGUGGGCAGCUGGCUGGUGUGAUAAAAAUAUAUGCUCAAUAUUUUGCUUGCAGAUUUGAUGAGAACAGAACUAACAGUCUAUUCUCAAAAUCUUAUCAAAAGGAGGAAAGAAAGAUUGAGACAUGAUGCAGGAUAGUACAAAAGGUUAGAAUACAUUUAAAUGAAAUAGCGCGUCUGUAAAAGAUAAAGAUCAAAUCGCUAACUGCAAUAAUCUCACUUAAGCAUCACCUCGACCUCCGAUAAUCUCACUAACAACCUUAUUUUUUGACCAUCGGUUAACGAGAGUUAAGAGCAAACUAAUGGAGUCGAUAUCACAUCACUACUAGCGAUUUCUCACAUAAGUCGCAUGCAUGUGAAUCUCAACAUACGAAGCUUAAGUAAGAAGUUUAGAUUUCUACAAUAUUUUGGUACAUCUCAAGCAGGCAAAUUGGAUUCAACUCACAGCAAGCACUCUAGAAACACUUUCAGUAUAAUAGUAGCAACCUCAGAAAUCAUCUGGCAAAUGAGAUUUCAGUAGCGAUAUUUGGUCGAAUAAUCCUUGGGCGCUAUAACCAGACCGCGGCCUUUCCUCGCGCCCCUAUAGACAGUCUCCACGAUGUCGAUGAACUCCUGCUUGUCCUUGAGGGCCCAAUUGAUCUUGUUGUUGUUCCCCGUGCCAAGGUCGAUCAUGAUGUGCUUGUUCCGGAAGAAGAACAUCACUGUCGAGGGAUCAUACAACUCGUACAUGGUAUUGAAGUCAGGGACCUCUGUGAUGUCCACCAGGUAUAUUACUGCAAAGUUCUUGAUGGUCUCUGCAACUGAUGCUAGCACUUCAUCCAUCUGCUUCAACAUGCAAAAUUAAAUCUAAAAAUCCAGGCCAGAACAUAGAAAGGGGGCGAGGAAGCAAUAAAGCAGCAAUACAUAAUUAACAUAGUUUUCAGCAACAAUUUCUGGUUCAAGUGGUUGAAUCCCAUAAAUCAUGGAGGCAAGUUUCCAAUUGACAGAACUUCUGCUAUAAAGGAGACAUAUUAGACCAAGAAAGAAGCAAGCUGGCAGGGAGGAGAGAAAGAGUUAUAGGACGAAAGUUCAGUUCUGUUAGCCUUCUUCGUGACACAUUUUACUAGUACAGAUAACAUUUUACUAGUACAGAUAAUAAUCGAUGCACGUUUCUUACACUUUAUCUAGAGAAAUAGGUUUGAAAAGGGCAAACUGCAUUGUUCCCCCAAGAACUUCUUAGAAAGUUUCACUUUGCCCUCUGCCCUUUAAAAAAUGACAAUCCUAUAACUUGUGGAAAUGUUACAAUUCACCUCUUUACACUUCUUUCCAUCAUCUCCAUUAUUAUAGUUGAAGUUGCUGUUGACAUGGGUACGAUGUUAGCACGCUGGUUUUGCCAUGGUGGCUCAAGAAAGCAGUUUUUUUCUUUUUCCCCCUUUUUGUCAGCGAUCCAUUCAAAAGACUGACUUAUGAGAGAAGGAUUUCUUUGGGCAGAAAACCCCUGUUCUCUCUCAAACAAUGAUCAACAUCCAAAUAAGGGCUAGAGUUAGGGGCCGACGAGUGAUUCUACAAAUUCCGUGUGGAAGAAGGGUGAAGAAUGAAAAUCUAGCUUUGAUUUCCAGAAAAAUCAAAUCAAGCACCUUGCUUGAUCCCCAUCCUCUAGUUGCUAGGAAAGAAACCUCUAGUUAAUUGGUUUCCUCUAGUUGAUCUGUUUCGCUCGAGAAAUGGAAAUCUUGAGGGGUAAAGAAGAUUAUGGACUGAAAUAUGGUAAGCUUUCCUAUAUGCUUUAACUGUUCUAUGAUUUAUGGUUUAAUAUUGGGAUUUGUGGCCUUUUUUAUUGAAUUCAUUGAUGCAGGAGGAUAUGGGGUCGAACAUUUUAGGGGGCAUUUAAAAAAUAUAAGGUUUUAAUAUGGUAAAGAAGAUAAUGAAUAUUUUCAUGGCCUUUGAAUGAAUAAAAGAGAAACUGGGAUGAAGAAAUAUCAAAGUUUGAAAAUACAUCAGAGUUCCUAUUCGAAUUUUUGGGAUUUUUUUAAAAAUUAAUUUGAAAUUUUUGUGAUUAUCUAGGAAUAACAGAAAGAAAAAUAAAAAUAACACCAAAACUCAGAAAAAUUAAAAAAUUUAAAAAAAGGAAAAGAUAGGGGAAGAUAAUUAGAACUCACUCCUUAAUUGGACUCUAUCCGUGGAUUCACUCCAAGGGCGACAAAAUGGGAAUAUUAGUGCUCCAGAAGUUCUAUAUAAAUAUUAUUAAUUUAAAAUUUUGACCGAACCAGUAGAUCCGACUGAUCAUCAGACCCCUCAUUAGAAGUUUUACACUGAGAUUCAUCAUGGGGACUUCUUUGCAGAUAUACUAGACAAAGUUUAUGUGGAUGGUAAUAUUGCUCAUUUUGGUUAUUGCCAUGCCAACGUACUAUCUUUGGUAGAAACCGUAUACACGCUCGAAAAGCUGGGCUACAUUGGAGAAUUCAAAUUCUUUCGAUGUACCAAAGGGAGUGAUUUUGACAAUGGUGUUCACCAGCUAAUUAAUGACAGCGAUGUUUUAGAAAUGGUUGCAAUUGCUUCUGAGCAAGCUUCUUUGGGAAUCUACGUGGAGCAUAUGAAAAGCGUUGAUGCUAUGUAGAUAUAUAACGGAUCAACUAUUUGGAGAAAGCCAAGAAAAACAUCCAAUGAUUAGAAGUGAGGGUUUAAACAACAAUAAUGUUGGAGGAACAAAAGAAGUGGUGAACCAAAUAGGUGUAGGCAACAAAGAAUCACAACUAUUUGGCAUGAAAGGUGUUCGAAUGAUGAAGGAGAGAGAAUAAGGGUUAUGGGGUGAUGACAAUGACGUGGCAAAUCUUGAAUGGAUGAGUGGGUAGCACUAGAGAUAGUGAUUUUGUAGCUCAUGGUCUUGUGGAUAGCGAAUGUGGCUUUACCGAUCACUCUUCAAUGCGCAAGUUGAUGCUGGUGUCAACAUGUCAAGUCAGGAAUGCGAAAUCAGUGGGGUUUUACAUGCUAAGACAAUGGACCAUCAAAUGAGUCUGACUAUGCACCUUGCAAUGAGCUGGAUAUAAUGGAAUCACCCUCUGCAGGUUAAUGGGGUUCAAAUGUCCUGAAUUUAGGGCUGAAAUAAAUUUGGUAUGAUAUUUUGAGCUGAAUACCAUACCAAGCUGAAUAUAGUGGCAUAAUACCAAGCUCAAAAUGUGGGUUUUGCAAACUCAGGAGCUUGGUAUGAUAUUUAGCCCUACAAAUGAGCUUACAAGUGCAGUUAGGGAGUAUAGCAUCAAUAAUAAGUUUAGUAUCAGAGUCAUUACUAAUGACAACAACAGGGUGAGAGCUGCUUGUAAGGAGAAACAUCCUUGCCUCAUUUUUUUGCAUCAUAGGUUCAAGAUGAUAAGACAAUGCAGGAGGUAUAAUCCUACGGGUACCUAUUGUAAAGAGUUUAGAAAUAGAUAUGUGACAUCCGAUUGGCUCAUAAGAAAAUGUGCAUAGAUUUAGAACUGAUCCUAAGCAGUUAUUAGAGCGCUUGCAAACCUAGAUCUCAAUGUUAAUGUGUCUAGAACAAGUACAGGGCAAGAAGAAAGGCCCUGCACUUAUCGACUGUAUUGAAAAAGUGCAAGUGUCUAUUGGAGUUGAUGUAGCUUAUUCAAUCAAAAUGAAUGGAAAUUAUAAAAGUUAGGGACCUAAUAGAAAAAAAGAAAAGUUAGGGACCAAAGUGAGAAAACUGAUGAAGGUAAGGGACCAGUGGUGCAAUUAACCCUUUAUCUUAUGGUUCUACUUCUUUAAAGCAUGCCCUGAAACUUAAUUCCAUGAAUUUUCUCUCCUGAUUUAUGGUCUUUUUGGAAGCUUGCAGGGGUUAAUCCCAUCUUUACAAGAGCUUGUACCAGAUUCCGAACAUAGGUUCUGUGUUCAGCAUCUUUAAUCUAAUUUUGAGACCACUCACAAGGGCAGUUACUAAAGGAUAUAUUAUAGGCUGCUACUAGGGCUACUAACACUUAGAAAUUUGAUAACUGGAUGAGGAUCAACAGAGCCAGACCUGAUGGCUUAUAAGUGGUUACCCGAGAAGCCACCACAGCAAUGGUUGAAAUCGCACUUUGUAGAAUUCCCCACAUGCGGUAUGCUAAUGAAUAGCAUGUGUGAGUGUUUCAACAGAUAAAUUCUUGAAGCUAGGAGAAACCAAUUCUCUCUAAGCCAAAUGCUGUCAACCUUAACUUGAUAAAUAGGUACAUCUGAAGAUAGAAGCAACUAUGAGAUUUAAGGGGAGGAUUUGUCCUAGGAUUCAAAUAAAAUUGUGGUUCAUUUAAUCUAAGGUCGCACAUGCAGAAGGUGGGGAUUAUCUUGAAUUCCAUGCGCUCAUGUAGUUUUAGCAAUGCUCCAUGAGAACUUGCAGCCUGAAACUAUGUAUGAGUGGAAUACAGUAGAAGCUCACAAAAAGAAUUGCGAGCACCUAAAUCCUAUUAAUGGUCAAAACAUGGACUAGGACUGGCCUAGAGCCUAUAUAACCACCAGUUUUUUCAUGGAAAAUCUGAAAGGCCAUAGAAAGCUUGAAAGAAGUUAGUUGCAAAGCAAGUUAACGCAGAAAGAUUAAGUAGGCAGCAGAUUAGGAUAACAUCUACUAAAUCUGUACAGAAAGGGCACAAGAAAGUCUUCUGUAACACUAGAGACCACACAACCAGACCAGCACUAAAAACAGAUUUACAUUGAUUUACUAAAAACAGAUUUACAUUGAUUUAGAGCAUAUCGACAUAUAGUAUUGGAACACACAAAGUAGAAAAUGAAAAGGGAAGUUGAAUAUGAAAAGAAAGUGUGGUUGAUGAAAGGAGUUGCUCUAGCAAAGCGCAAAAAGAACAAAGAGAGUGGAUCAUUUGAAUCACCCUUGUAAUUGUGCCUCAAGUUCUGCUACAGGGUACCAAAGAAACUACAGUUAGAAUCAUCAGCUCAAAUCACAACAAAUCCAGCACAACCAACAAACUUUAUUAGGAAUCGCAAUUACAAAACUCAAUCACACCACCUCCCAUUGGAACUCAGACUUCCAUUGCUCAUGCAAUGGCAAGAGGUAAGGUGAAGAGGGCUCCUAGCGAUGUAGGUCAGGGCAAAGGGUAAGGAAACGGGGCGAAACAAUCCAGGCACAGCAUCAUUAACAUUUGUUAUAUUCAUGGUCUUUCUCUCUUAGAAGAUUUGAAAGUAUUGGUCCCUGCACUUUGCACUUUGUUUGAUAAAACGUUCAUACAUACAACUACAUACGAAUAUAGCACUAUAACUACGAAUUCAAGGAAUUAAAAAAAAUUUAAAGAUACCAUUUAUAGUCAGCGACCCAAAUAGCAGCAGCUAUAGCAAUUUUAAUGGGUAAACACUACACUAUGCUGUUGAAAACAUACUAUAGCGUACUAGGAUCAUAGCGGCCGCUAUGGCGCCCACAGUGGCUGCUAUAGCGAGACCAUAGCAGCCACUAUGGUGAGACAAAAAAGCGGGCCCAUUUUAGACCUCAAUUUUCUAGAGAUUCAAUAGGUUGAUUACAUCCUAAAAUCAUUAAAAUCAUACGAGAUUGUCCAAAUAGAAGAACUAAGUUAUUGGUGGGUACCAAAGGAACUAUUCCAUCAUGUUUCUUAUUGGAAACAAGUGAAAAAAUCGUGAUUUUAUUUGUGUGGAGAGAAAAGCAACAUCGGACAACACAGGUUUAUUGGUGACCAUUAGGGAUCACCGCGAUUAUGAACGAUCACUAUGCUAAGUAAAAACACUGUUUGGAAUAUAAAUUUAGAGAAAUUGAAAGUGCUAUACUUCUAUAUUUGGAAGUUGGAACUAACAUGUAAGUCCUAUCAUUUCAAAUACAAAUGCAGUUGGGAAUUUAAGCAUUGAAAUAAUGUAUUAUGAAUCUCACUACAGGUUCAUAGCGGCAGCUAUAGCACCCUUAAUCCGCUAUCCACUUUGAUAUCCCCCAAACACUAAGUACCUACUAUCCGCCAUUUACAACUUUGUUUGUAGUCAUAAUGUCAUAGAGGUCAGACCAUAUCAGAUCAAUUUGCAAGAUUUAACAAGAAAUAUAGAAAUGAACCAAACACUCACAAUGUUAGCAACAUAGCAUCAAAUGGGAUUAAGCAUGGAUGUUAAUGCUCCAUAGCUACUGCAUAAACAUAAGAAAAGAGUCAAUGUAAACUUGUGUUGAAUUACCUAGUCAUCUACUGAAUGUGUAAUUUAGAAAUCUUGUAAUUUAGAAAUCUAUUAAUGCACAGCAUGAAAUGAUUUCUAAAAACCAAAUAAGAAGAAGAGGUGAAAACAAAAGAACCAAUGAUUAGUGAAGCAGAAUCAUCAACAAAGUACAAAGUAGAAAUACAGAAGACAGUGCAAAUCAAUCAAGGUACAACUUCAUAUCCUAGCACAAUGAAGACAACCAUUAAACUAGACAUUCUAUUAACGAAAAAAAUUUGAAAGUAAAGCAGCAUUGUAUUUACGUUUCUCCCUUCUCAAGCUUCUUAUAACAAGACAAAAACCUAACCAAACUAGAAAUCAAGAAGUAAAUUCCCAAACAGAGUUCAAUGCAAUUCCCAAACAGAGUUCAAUGCAAUAGAUAUUUAACUUGGUCUUUUGUCGUGAUUGUUGCACAAUUAUCAUUUCUAUGAUGGAGAACAAAGCUAAAUCUUGAGAUGAAGCACUUCUCAAAAACCUAGAAGAUCUCAUGAGUAAGCAAUAAAAGCCUUAAAACUUAUUGAAGAUACCUCAACUACAAACUCUACUAGCAACUAACAAUGUGCUAUCUGACAUCAUCUGAAAGGUGGUUUCUCAAAUCUACUCAGAGAGCCAUGGUUCUCGUGGCCAUGACAACUACUAUAACAGCUAUUCAUUCCAACUAGUUGGUCUACAUAUCGCAUAUGUCUAUGUUGCCUGCAAAGAUUGCUUGACACGUUAAAUUGAAUACAGUGGGGAACUCUCCUCCUCCAACAAUUUGAGUGAUGAAAAAGAAUGCGGUUUCCAAGCCUCUGUUUAAGACCAACUACUGAGCAGGAAAGGAUGUCAUGCUGGCCACAAGAUUUUCAGAAGAAAAAAGAUUGGUUGUGCAUUGCCAUUAUUGAAGGCUCUACAGCAACACCAUAUUUUAGAAAGGCACAUUAGGGCCCUACUCCCAUAUGCAGGCAUCUAAAUCUCUACAUCUGAAGAAGAAAUAAUACAACUAAUUUUAGUGAAAUUACAUUAGACAUUCAAUUUUUUGUUUCAAUGACAGAAUAUAAGGAUUGUCCAUGAAUUUAAUGAGCCACAUCGAACAAUUAAUCAAUCUAGGUCUAGAAAGGCAUUUGAAGCUUAAGAAAAAGAAUAAUUUCCUUUGAUGAUUUCUCCAAAAAGCUUAAGGAAAAAAAAAAAGGAUUUCCUUUGAUGAUAGCAAAAACCCUUGAAGACUAGAUUGCUAAAUGAGAGUAAAUAUCACCAAAACACGAACAAAGCAAAUAGCGGUCCAAAAGGGAAAUCAAGCAAGAGGUAAGUUCACAGCUUUCACAUUUAGCUAAUUAUCUGCUGCUAGUCUUAUGAAAAUCCAAAAUGACGCAUUGCCUACUAGUGAAAAUUAAGAAACAACAGUCAAUUGCUACCAAGUGCUGACAAUAGUUAAUGGUAUAUAACUUACUUAAUACAUUAAUGUCUAGGAUUAUUCCAAGUGUACGAAGGAAUAAGAUUCUACAAAACAUAUCAAAUGUGAUCUAAAUCUUUGUGUCACGAACGCAGGGGUAAAUAUUUUAUAAAAAAAAAGAAAAUAAUGCACCGAUAACCGACGCGCUCGGCUAAAAGGGGAAGGGCAUGUCUUUUUGGGUCAAAACCCAUUUAGUAAAAUAAAUAAAAAAAAUCUAAUUUAUAAAAAAAAAAUAACCAUAUUAAAAAGAUAAAAAUUUUUCCCAUCGUUCUCAUGACUCUCCACUGUUCCUCUCCAUAAGAGCCUCCAAAGGUAUUCUCUCUCUCCAUCUCUAUUUUGCAUUAGAAUUAUAAUUUUUUUGAAUUAGAUUUUUUUUUUUGCCAUUAAGAUUAUUUUUUAAUUAGGGUUAUGUUUUUUUAGAUAUUUUUCAAUUUUAAUCUAUUAUAAUGCGGACUAGAGACCUCAAUAUUUUAGUUGUUUUCUUCAACUUGUCAUUAACUAUUUUAUUUAUUUUACGCUAUUUUAAAAAAAAAAUCUCUUCAUAGGGUUAGGUCAGUAAAUGUGAUAGAGUAGGCGGGAGAAAUUGCUCAUUCAAAUGUCGCUUUUGUAGUAUGACUAAAAAUUUUCGAUCAAAGGAAUUAGAGGAUGUACACAAGUGACUCCACAAUAUCUUAACAAAUUUAAAAAAGAAAAUGAAGAAGCGAACUUUAGAGCAAAGAAUGCAAAAUCGAAAUCGGUACUGUUACCACCAUUUACUAGUCAAGUAGCCAAGGAGGAUCAUCAAGUGGUGUUAAUAUUGUUUCACUUAAUAGUUUUCAUCUGAAGAAAAGAAAGGGAAAUAGGGAUACGCCUUUGGAAAAGGCAAUUAAUUUACAAGCUAGUAAAUUAUUACAUACGAAAUAAUCUAGCUAGAAACCCUCACUACAUUAGUUCCUAUCUAUGUAUCACGGACACUUCUAUUAGCCUAGCGUGUCUGUGUCGGACACUGGCAUGUCCGAUGUGGACACUUCUUGGAAGCUCGUUUAAUGCCGAUCCAUAGAGCAAACAAUUAAAAAAAGUAUACAUAUUUUUAUUUUACUUUUUUUUUAUGCAUUAUAAAUGUAAGAUGAUAAAUAUUUUAGCUUUUUGAUGAAUGCAUACAAAUUUUUUUGACAAUAUAAAUAAAUUAUAUAUGGUGCGGAAUUUUUCUUCAAAUAUAUGAAUUAUCAAUAAAAAUUUUACUAACUUUCAUUCGUAUGAGAAAUAUAACAAUAUUUUACCAAAAUUAAUAUUUUGUAUAUAAUAAAUAUAUAUUAUUGUAUUUAAUAAUAUUAUAUUUUAUUAGGGGUGCCCAUGUCGUGUCCAUGUCCUAAUUUUUCUAAAGCUGCCAAAUCGUCGUGUCCAAGUCAUGUCAUGUCCUGUGCCAGUAUCCAUGACGCCUAGGUUCCUAUACAUACACGGUCAAUCAUAUGAUUAGUGGCUAUAUUUUUCACUGUGUUAAUAUGCUAAGAACUACUUUAUUUCAAAAGCAAAGAGCACAUGUAGAAAAUUUAUUAGAACCGAUUAAAGGAACAUGAAGCGAAAAAGAUAUAAAGUAUUGUUUGUGAUGGUUGGAGCAAUCCUGAAUGAAAACCAUUAAUUAAUUUCAUGGCCAUGACGAAGGAUGGUCCUAUAUUCUUAAAGGUAAUUCAUAAUGAAUGUGUGGAGAAAGAUAAGAAUCAUAUUCAAAUUUAAUUAAAAAGGUACUUUUGGAGGUUGGGACAUCAAAAAUAAUUUAAAUUAUAAUUGACAGCGCAUAUGUAUGUGGAAUGGCGGGGAGAAUUAUACAGCAACAAUUUCCUCAUAUACGGAGAAUAAUUAUAUUGCAUAUGAAGAAGGAUUAUGGAGAUAUAUGAUGACGUUACGGGUGUAAAGAAUUUUGUGAUGCGCCCCACUUCCUGGGGGUCAUCCAUCCUGAAAUUACUCUAGCCCUAGUCUCGCUCAACCCUCUUAACCUCUUGAACGUAGCCACCGCUACUAUAGCCGAGUGAAGAGUUUUAGCACUCUUACACCUUAUAUGUAGGACAAUUGCAAAUCCAAAGGGUGUGUCACAGUUAACCGGUUGGACCUAGCCACUGCCCAAAUGUUAUAGUCGGUGUUGCCGUGUCCAAGUCGUGUCCGCUGUUCUGUGCCUACAUCCGCGACGCAUAGAUCUAAAUCAUGGACAAAACAAUCGUAGGACAGUAUUAUCUCAACUAUAGUAGUAAUGUCCUCAAGGAUGCAUCUUUUAGAGUUGAAAUCCCUGAUGUUUGGUGCUUGUCGACUCUGCAGCCAUCAAGGGGAAAAGAGCAAGAAGAACAACAAAUAAAGAAAAAGUCCCCAAAAUAUAACUUGCAAAACGAGGGACACGUAAUUUGGAAUUACAGGAUGUUGAAUAAAGCUAUACAUCGGUAAAACAUGCACAAUUGGACAGAAAUUAAGCAUCUAAUUGGACAUCCAUUGAAGACGAUUAAUAAACGAUAACAGAUCGCGGUAAAAACACUCGUGGGUCCUUAAAAACCCUAAUAACUGGACGGACUCGACGGUGGAUUGAUUGAGUGGAAACCCUAUUUUUUGAAAGAGGAGGAAUCGGAAAGGAAGCGAAAGAAGAAAGAAAGAAAGAAUCAAUAUCAAUACAAAUACAAGUAUAGAGAGAAACAGAGAGGGGGAGGGUUGGUGAGCAGCACCUGCAUGCAAGUCUCGUCCCAGUCGUGGCCGAAGCGGAUGAUGACGAGGCGCUCCUCCUCCGCCAAGAUUGCCUGAUCCACUGCCCAUCCCGAGUGCAGGUGCGGAAGAAGGUACGACAUCUCUCCUCUCACUCUCUCUCUCUCUCUCUCUCUAGCGAAUCCCCUCUCGAGUCGCACAGGCUCCGAUUCCGUGUGAGGAGGCGACCGACGUAUAGACAGCCGAAACUUCUGGAUUUUUUCUUUUUCUUUUUUUAAUUUCCCUUCACCGUCACUAAUUUUUUAGAAUUAAACUUUAUUCUAAAGUUGAAACCAAAUGUCGUUCCUCCAUCGAACUACAUGAUCUGAAUAUUAAAUACAAUAUGCAUGAAUAUUAAAUACAACUAGCAACUAACCCAAUGCACAGAUUUUAAUUUUAUCUUUUAAUUACAUCUUUUAUAUAAUAUAUAAUAUUAAUUUUUAUAUAUUAAGUUUUUUUAAUAUCUUUUUAUGACAACUUUUAUAUAAUAUAUAUUAAUUUUUUGCAUAUUAAGUUUUUAUUAGAAAAAUUAUUGAAUCAAGUUAAAAUAAUACUAUCAUGAUAUACUAAUAGAAUGUAAGUAAAUAAUUUAAAAUAAAAAGAUUUUAAAAUGAAGAAGUAAAAAGGUUCAAAUCCAUUAGAAAUUUAACAUAAUUAUUAGUUAUAUAUUUUUUAAUACUCAAUAUUGAAAUGAUGAAGAAAAUUAAUCUUAUUUCAAAUUCUUAAUUUUUAUAUAUUAAGUUUUUCUAAUAUCUUUUUAUGACAACUUUUAUAUAAUAUAUAUUAAUUUUUACAUAUUAAGCUUUUAUUAUUAGAAAAAUUAUUGAAUCAAAUUAAAAUAAUACUAUCAUGAUAUACUAAUAGAAUGUAAGUAAAUAAUUUAAAAUAAAAAAUUUUAAAAAUAAGAAGGAAAAAGGUUCAAAUCCAUUAGAAAUUUAACAUAAUUAUUAUUUAUAUAUAAUUAAUCUUAUUUCAAAUUCUUUAUGACUAAUUUUGUAAACUUAUUUUUUGAAGAAUUUUAAGUGACUAAAUUUGGAAAGUAAUUUUUUAGAACUUGUGAAGCAUGAUUCAUAUUAUGAUUCCUUUAAACUAAAAAGUUCUUGUUAUUAUGAAUAAUUAGUCAUGUAUGUUUAUCAAUUAUUUUCAACAAAUUAAUCAAAAAUUUAAAUAUAAAUAUCAAACAUACCUCCCAAAAGUAAUUAUUGAAUAUUUCUUGGGAUAGGGGCAAAUAUUUAUGCGCUCUGAAAAUUUUAAUACUAUGACGAAAUCCAAAGUUAGUGGUAUGUAUCCUGAAAAAAAAAAGAGAAGAUAAUAUAUACAUUACAAACCGACCAAAUCAUUACACGUAAUUAUUUUCAAAUUUUGAAACAAACUUGCCUUUUGUAGAAAGAUGGUGCAUAAAGGUGGAAAAUAAGUCUGCCUCCAUCUAUCAUACAUAUGGAUGAUAACAUUAAUAAAAUAAUGACAUUCUUGUAAUACUACGUUAUGACGGAUAAAUUUGUAACGUUUAUGAUUUAACUGUGAAGAGUGAAUAUGCUCACAAUCAAAGAAAAGAAAAGAAAAUAACUGUUGUGCGGUUGAGAAAAAAAUAACUGUUUGUGUAUUUAGGAAAAAAAAAUAAUGUUUGUGCGGUUAAGAAAAAAUAAUGUUGUGCGUUUAGGAAAAAAAUAACUUGUCGUGGCGGUUAAGGAAAAACUGCUAUGCAGUUAUCUUUUGGGUACGUUGUCGUAUGAUCUCUUAUAAUUACUUAAUGAUAUGAUAAGAUAUAAACUAUAUAUAAUGAUUAUAUAUAUUAUAUAUAUAUAUAAUAUAUAUAUAUAUAUAUAUAUUUUAUAUAUUAUAAUAUAUAUAUAUAUAUAUUUGUGCGAAUUAAAAAUUAUUAUGAUAUAAAAUUAAAAAAAUAUAUAUUAUGAUAGUGCGCCCGUGGCAUCUUAUGGUUUCAUAUGAAUAAAAAUUAUAUAAAAUAUAUAAAUAUAUAAAUAUAUUAUAAAUUAUAUAUAUUAUAUUAUAUUUUUUAUUAAUAUAUAUAUAUUAUAUAUAUAUAUACAACAUUUAUAAUAUAUAUAUUAAAUAUAUAUAUAAUUAUAUAUAUAUAUAUGUGAACUAAAAAAUAUACUUAUAUUAUUUAAAAAAAAACUGCUGUGCAGUUAAUUUAUUAUGUACGUGUAGUUAUACUCUCUUAUAAUACUUAAUAAUUAUGAAUAUAUAAAAUAAUAUUAAUGAUAAAUAUAUAUAUAUAUAUAUAUAUAUAUAUAUAUAUUUGUGAACUAAAAAAUAUAUUAUGAUAAGUUAAAAAUAUAUAUAUAUAUAAUGAUAAGUGCGCCACGUGGCACAUUAGAAUUUUUCAUGUAAGUGCGCCACGUGGCAUCUUAUGGUUCAAUUGGAACCAUGCUUCUAAAAUUAGAUAUUUAUAACUCUAUAUGAAUCCCCAAUAAAUUGGUGACAUGGCAAACCCUCCUUUUUUUAUAUUUUUUAUAUUUUUUAAUGGUUGUUUAUUCUCUCUCUUUCCCUUCCCAACGCACGCCUCUUCAUCUUCUCUCCCCUAAUAUUUUGGACCCCUUCUCCUCUUCUCAACGUUCGACCUUUCAUCUCCCUCAAUCCCUUUUUUCCUCCUCUUGAUUGGAGUUGGGCAUCAUCUAAUUAACUUCUCUCUGCGGUGAGUGUCACACGUCUUUGCCUCCUUCGACGGCGUCGUAUCAGUGGCGAAGGUGGUGAACGUGAUGGCGGUAGAGACCAAGGCGUGGGGACGGUGGCAGAGGCAUAUGCAAUGGCGGUGGAGAUCGAGUUGGCGGCGGCAACAGCAGUGGCGAGUCUUGCCCUCGAAGACCAACAUCAAGUGAGAGAGUUCCUCUAUCUUUUCCUUUCUUCUUCUCUCUUUUUUCUUUUUUAAUCUAUUUUUAACCUAUUUUAUAGUAUUUUUGGGGAUUAUUUGGUGGUUUUUGUUUAAGGUGAGUUGGGUUUGCUUAAAAAUUCAAUUUCGUUAAAUGAAAAUAUGAAUUUCUUAGUUUUAAUAGAUGGUUUUGUAUAGAAAGUAUCUUAUUAUCUUAGAAUUUCCAUUCUUGCUGCCUAAUUAUGGAAAACCCCCAACUAUAUGCCAUUGCAUAAUGGUUCUUUCAACUAAAUUAUUUCUUGAUUGACACCCAUACUGUUUUUGCUUUUGUAGAUUUAAACUCUAUUCUGAAAUUUUUGUUCUGAAAAUUUGGAAUGAGUGGUUUUUGGCAUUAUUUAUAGCAUUUUCAUAAUUUACUAAAAAUUCAAGAUUACUAUUUUCAAUGUUUGUAAUGUAAUUAUGAAUAACGUGGUUCCAUUGUUGUGUAAUUAAUUUAAUUUUGUAAUGAAUACUCUGGUAGAGCAUUAAGUUUUAUAGCAUAAUAUUUUUCAGCUCUGACAGGGAAAAUUGCUGAUAUUAUCAAUGUAGCUACUUUUCUAAUUUAGUGCUUCUUAAAAUAGUUUCUUGAUCUGAUUUGACCUAAUAUAUUGCAAAUUUGCAAUAGAUUAGUGAAGAAGAGAUUACCUUUUUGAUGAAAGGAGAAGAUCCUUAUGAUGAUGCUGUUGUACUAAAAGUCUUCUAUCCAGAUAUUAAGUUGCUGCUGGUAAUAGAGGGGCCAGAUGGUAUGUAUUUGUUUAUACAAUUCUCAAAGCUCUUUGUUAUCAUUGUCUAAUUUCUGCUGAUGUUGUUUCUCUGGUACAAAACGAAAUAGAUAUAUGACUAAUGACUUUUCUUUAUUGAGGAUGACAACAAAAAGAAUUUUGAAGAAAAUUAAAACUGUAAUUUUAAAUGACAUAGCUAUCCAUGAAUCUCAUGUCCUCUUCUUUUGCUGUAUUUAGUUUUUACAACUUUGCCACCAGUAAUUAUCAUUUUACAUUUCAAUAAUAAAGUUGCAGUUAUUAUUAAAUGUCCAAACAUCCUGUUAUAUGUGAGAAUAUGAUCAAACUAAUUACAAAAGCUGCAAGUAUCCACCUUAACAUAUAUAAUUUCAAAUAAUAUAGGAAUUUAGUGGUAAAGUAAGUGGACUAAAGGUGACUGUUGUGGACAUUACUGAUGCUCAAGAUGCCUUCAUUGCUGGAAUACUAUUUGGAUUGGCCUCAGUUUUUUCAGUUGCUUAGAGUAUUACUCUUUUUAACCUAUCAUUGCACUAAAAUUUAUUUUCAUAUUAUGUGGAUGUUCUACAUUUUUGUUUCAUUUUUUCUUUUUUUUUUUAGCAUAUAGUUCAUUGCAUAUAGCAAGUUAGAUAUCGAUAUAUUCUAAACUCUAGCAACCGUGUUUUUAAUGAUUUCUUUAUCUAAUUAAAACUGAAGGAUAAAUAGAUUUAAUAGCUAAAUUGAAGGAUAAAUAAAUUUAAAAACUAGACAAGGAAAAAAAAUGUAAAGAAAAGUGAAAACUAAAAGAACAUUUCAUACUAUAUUUCUAGAUAUAUAAGAAAAAGCUUUAUAUUUAACUUAUAAUUGAUGGUGGCCAAAUCUGAACCUUACAUAUAAAAAUUCUUUGUUCCUGCUACUUGCUCAUCUUUUCUACUGCUACUUCUGCCUACAAUUCCUUCUUUUUCUUUCUUUCUUUCUUAUUCUACUAUUAUUAGUGUUGGUUUUUAUAGUCUUCUAUUAUCUCCUAUUUAUUUUUCUACUUUUGCUUUUGGUGAUACUAUUAUUAAUGAGUGGUGAUGAUGGAAAAGUAAAAUAAAUAAGACAAAAGUGUGGCGCGGGGCAGAAGUGUUGCAAGGGGAAGUGCGUCGAUGUUUUGUGGGACACGAGGAAAUGCGGCACAUGCGGGCGCAUGUGCUGGUUCGGGCAACUGUGCGGUAGCGGCAUGUGUGUGGCGAUAGCCUAUGACCUUGACCACUGCGGCAGAUGCCACAACAAUUGCACCCCCAGCAUGCGGUGCCAACAGGCAGUAUAUUUCGAUUCGAGGAGGAGAUAAAAUGAAACUAUAAUACAAUUUUUAGUCAAAAUUUUAGAGUUUGGUUACAUUUAUGUGUAAGCCUCUUUCUAUAAUUAUUGAAGAAUGGUGUUAUUUGGGAACCAUAAUAGAAGUUUUCAGUCAAAGUUUUAUGAUCUUUUUAAAAAUUUAUAUAAGCUUCUAGCUAUAAUUUUAUUUUUUUAAACGAUUGAGUUUAAUCAUGCAGAUUGGCUAUGCUUAACUUAACACGGUAUAGCUUCCUAUGCAUCAAUAAAUUAUAAAUAUAAAUUUUAUUAAAAUUUUGCUUUUAUUAUCUACCCGUUGCAUCGCGCGGAUCUCUAUACUAGUAUAUAUAUAAUGUGCCACAUGUCUCUCUCUCCCUCACAUGCUCUUUCUGUACAUGAACCAAAACAAUUCAUAUCACACAGAAUAUUGCCAUGUACUAUUGCUAUCUUGCUAAUCAUUAGGGUGCAUGAUUCCACCUCCCAGCUUUUCUAUAUAUCUAGCAUUGUUCACUAUCAAAUAAGCGUAUGAAUGUGUAUAUUUGUCUCUGCUUAUUUGUUCCUCCCAGCUUUAUUAGUAGUACUAGAGCAUAUUCUCGACCUUGCUAUAUUUGUUUUGGAAUUAUUUAGAAUACAUAUCUUCUAUUACUGUUAGGUGAGGUAAAACUAUGUUGCUUUAAACUCCAAAACAAAUAAUAUAAAUUUAACAGUAAACAAUUUUUUUGUAUAUACCUUGAUAGUAUAGGAAUACGAAACAAAUAAUAUAACUUUAACAUUAAACAGAUUGUUUUUUCCAGCAUACUGGAACAAUAACCUUACAUAAACGCUAUACUAGAGCUUAAACCAAAUGUCGUCCCUCCAUCGAGCUACGUGAUCUUUCUUUUAUAUGGUUUUCUCUCUCUCCCUCACAUGUUCUCCCUCCCUUUACAUAAAAUAUAUGGUGCAUGGUGGGAAAAAAUAUAGUACAGAGGAUAUUGCAUUGUACUUUUGCUAUCUAUGUAAUCACGUGGGUUCAUACAUCCUCCCCACACCCGAGCAUUUUCUAUAUAUAUGCUGUUAACUACCAAACAUGUGGAUAAAUGUUAAUAUUUGUCUCUAUUUACUUGUCUUCCAGCAUCAAUAGUGUUAGAGCAUCUUCUCCAGCUUCCUAUAUAUAUAAACGUCUAGCUUCUAACAUAGUUAUUGGGCUCACCCAUUUACUUCCUUAAGGAGUAAGAAUUUCCUUUGGCUGUAUCUACAGAUACAGCCAGUUAUAUUCAUAUGUUUGUUUUCUGUUUGUUUUAGAAUUAUUUGGGUUACAUAUCUGCUACUUUCCUAAGGUAGGGUAAAACUAUAUUCGUCUUUUUUUUUUUCGAUCCUAUCUUUCUUGAGCAUGUAUACAUGCAGGUUCUUUACUAGCUAAUUAUUUACCUCUUCUAGGCAUCUUUAUUUUAAUUUGGCUAAAUUAAAGAUCAAGUUCUAACAAUUUCAUACUAAGUUUCCUUACCUUACCGUGCUUUUUAUAUUUCGUUAGUUCUUUAUGGAAUGAUAACAUAAAUUGUUAAAAAGUAAAUAAUUAAAUGGCUUAUUUGUUUUAAGGAUAUGUUGGUGAUGUUGGGUUCCUUACUUUUUUUAUUAAUGGUGGACAUAUAUAGAGAUUUGUUUCAAUACUUAAAUUUUUAAUCUACGGCUACUGAGCAAUGUAUGUAAAGAUGUUAGAAAGUUUCUCUAGACAAUAGCAUUGGAGGGCUGGGAUUAAAAAAACUAAUACAUUAAUUAUGCUAGAUUCAGAACACAUGCCUUAUUUUUUAUCAUACAUUAAUUAUUCUGCAUUUGGUCAUUCUAUGCCUAACUUAAAAGUGGUUAUCUCAUCUUUUUCAUAUCAUUCUUGAACGUUUAAAGGAUAAUGGCGGCCCUACCAGUAUCAUAUAAGCAAUUGUUCACCGACAUACUUGGAGUUCUUGCCCUUCUUCUUCCUAAUUACGGCGCAAUGUUCGGUUCUGAUGGCUUGUAUGUGGGAUGUGCUGAAAUAAAAGUUGAAAAUAUUGAUGGAACUGAAGAGGUUUUUAAGUGGUUUGGUCAGAAAUGCAUUAAUGUUGAGUUAGCAGAGUAGAAAGCCGCUCAUGAAGCAAUUAUAUGCUUGAAGAAAGCACUUAAUUUCAAUGUUGCUGAUAUUAACUAUGAUGACUUAAUGGUUUAUAAAUCUUUAUACGAACAGCUGUGUGCCAACCACAACCAACUCCAGUUCGACGACUAUUUUCUAAAAGAAUGUUACAGCUAUACUCUCUGUGAGGUUGGGCGCCUUCAAAAUGAGAAUACGUGGCUCGGACAACAAGCCGACCACGCUGCAGAGUUGCUGUGGCCCACUACAAUUAAUAAUCAUCGUGGCAAUAUGUCAGAGGAUGGGAGUUCGGGUGUUUAGAAUUACUGAUAAUCUUUUAAGUCUCAUAGUCUGUCUGUUUAAUAUUAUGUCAUGGUCUUUGUUGUUUUAUGUUCUGCAACUUCCUUCCUUUGUUGUGCAGUGCCGUGAUAGUCUGUCUGUUUAAUAUGAUGUCAUGGUCUUUAUUGUUUUAUGUUCUGCAAUUUUCUUCCUUUGCUUUGCAGUACUGUAAAGAUAUGUUGAUUUCCCUCUGACGCUUUAAGUAUGAUGUUUUCUGAAAUUUCUAAUAUUGACUUCCUAUGUUAUACAAUAUUAACUGCUCUUCGUCUAACAAUUUGGCACAAAAAAAAACAAUUUCUAACUCUUGAUCUAAGAACUGUUUUAUCAAUUAUAUUUGUAUUAAUCUAUAUUAUAUAUUUAGUUAUCUUACAUAAUGUGGAUGUUAUAUAUAUAUAUAUAUAUAUAUAUAUAUAUAUAUAUAUAUAUGUAUGUAUGUUUCGUAUAAUAAUAUAAUGAAAGUUUAUUAUUAACUCUCAGUAACGUAGACCCCGGCCGCGAAGGCGGGGUCAUUACACUUAGAUAAUAUAUACGAACCGGCACGCGAGCGCGAGCGGGGCGCUCGGCGUUCAAGCGUGGGCCCGGCCGGCUCAGCGUAGAGCGCUGGGGCGAAGGCGGGUCGUGGCCGGCAGCCAGAGAGUGAGGGAGUUUUUUUUUUUCUUGACUCUUCUUUUCUUUAUUUUUUCUCUCCUCAUAUUUGGAGAAAAAAGAUGUUAUUAUUUUUUAAAAAUCUACUCUAAUUUUUAUUUUAUUACAAAAAUUUAAAAUAUAAAAUAAUUUUUAAUCACUUUAAAUUAUUUUGUAUUAAUAAUAAAUUUUAAUUUUAAUAUUAAAUAUUUAGAUAUAUAUUUGUAUAUUAAAAAAAAAAAAACAGAUUGAUGAAGGUUUAAGUUAUAUUUACCAUCGACAUGAAUCAUAAUUUAAUCGUAUUUAAAAAAUUGGAUAUCAAACAUAAAAUUGGAAAGCCGCUCGGCAGCGAAUGCUUAUAGGUAACCGUGGCCAGUGCUGUAAGCCCGGCCCAAGCCUGGCGGCCGGGCGGCUCACGUCGCCCGGUCGUUUUAUCAUCCCUAUCACACGGGUCCUUCACUAGUAAUAAAAUAAAAUAAGGUUAAGAGCCCCUUUGAAAUUUUGGAUAUUCUAUAUAAAAAGUUUAAUCAAAUUAAUAUAUUUAAAUUAUUAUUUAUUGCUUAAAUAAUAAAAUAAUUUAUUUAUUUAUUAUUUAUAAUUAAAUAUGUAUUUAUCCAUAAACUAAUAUUUAUAUUAGGCCAAUUUGCAUAAAAAAUCCACUAAUUUUGCGCUUUUGCAAAAGUUGGCCACUUUUUUCGAUUUUGGAGAUUCGGGCCGAAUUUUCAGUCACCAGACCAAAAUGCCCCUCGUCUACAUCUGCCGCCCGCGCAUUCCUUGAGAUACGUAUACCCUAAUGUAUGGUUCUAGCGGGCAUUAAAUGCGCCCCUUGUGUUUUAUGUAACCUCGCUCUUAUCGGAACCAGGACCAAAUCGACCCCGCUAUUCGCUAGCCUCGGUAUUUGCUGUUCGGCUUUGAGAAAUUAAAUUUACUGAAGCUAAAUGACAAGAAUUACGCGGCCCGCAACAGGAAUAAUAUGUAGUAUCCUUUCUUUAUAUAUAUAUAUAUAUAUAUAUAUAUAUAUAUUAGUACCUAGACUAAGUGUGCAUGGCUAUGGAUGCCACGUGCACUCCCCCAUGCAUGCUUAUCUGGUUGAGGGUGGCUCUAAUUAAUUUAGUUUUUGCUUUCUCUCUUUAGUGUGAAGUAGAGAACCACACGAGGUGGAGCUUGGGGGAGUAGCCGUGGAUCUCGGAUUCAACGUCGACAUCGCGCCGCGGAGCCGUUCGAGGAUACGGUUGCAGUCGUAGCAUCGCGAGGAGUCCGGGCGAGGGCGUGGUUUCGCCGUUCUCGACGUCGCCCCGCGUUGGAUUUAGCAUACGAGGUGGGUUUAUCAUCGGAAUCCUACUCCUAUAAUAUUGUUCAUCGACAUGUAUCGUUAAUAUUACAAGUUGUUAUUGUUUGUUUAGCUCAAAUUCAUAAGUAGGUAUGUUUUAGACAUAUAAACUGAAUUGGGAGCAUGUUAUUAGUUGUUAUUAAUCAUACAUGUGGGACUUGGAUAAAACAUAGGAGAAAAUCAGCGUUCGGAAUCUGGCAUAUGUUGAAUUACCUGAUUUAGCCUUAGGGGCCGUUGUAUUUUUAUACAGUUAUUGUAUUCGGGUUGUGAGUACCCCAGGUAGUUUAGAAGGCAUUUACGCUCGUGCUGAGAUGCCGAGCUUAUUUUUCAGCAGAGUUUAGGCUGUUUCGGGUCGUUGGGUGCCGUUCGGGUUAGCGGUGGACCCAGAUUCUUGUUUUGGUCACAGAUUGUGCCGAGGGCACGUGGGUUUGGUUUGUAGACCUGUUUUGACCCUGUUUACUUGACUUUGGCUAGUUGGAGCCUGUUUGAGCUCGACAGAGAUACGCUGCAUACUCGGUUGGGUAGCGCCCACGAGUGCCACUCCGGAGUCAGGCUUUGUGCUUUCGCGUUGGUGUCGCUCAUGCCAGUUGGACUUGCUCUCCACGGACCAGUUAGUGUGGAUAGAGCUUGACAGUCACAACGGGGCAGGGACGGGUGUAUUCACAGUCCCGGGGACGGGUAUGCUUACAGUCCCGAUUGGAUUGGGUCAGGUUGGACAUUUCCUACAGUUGGUUAGUGUAGAGCAUGAUAGUGUAGUAUUUGAUAGCGGUAGACUUUAUUCCUGCAUUUCACUACUAUUCUUGCUCCCUUCUGUAGACUUAGUGGGUAGACCGAUGUUGUUUUGGGCGGUACCCACUGAGGACUACUUGUUUUUACAGUAGUUCUCACGCCCAGUUGUUACCUAUGUUUUUGCAGAGCCACAGGUUCCGGCUGCUGCACCGUCCGCGGAUCAGGAUCGAGGCAAGGGCGUUGCGAGUUAGAGCCCUACCCGACGUGCUGAGCUAGAGGUGCUCCUACUGCAGGUAGAUGUUUUGUUUCGAGUUUAUGUACAUAGUGGACUUAACUCGCCAGUGCGAGUAGCUUUGUAUUUUGGAUCUGGACUAUGUAUAUGAAACUCAGUUUGUUUAGCUUCUGUUCUCUCCAGCAGCUCUCUACUACUGUUCGUGGUAGUGUUUGAUUUUCUGGUACAGCUAUCGCUUCGUAUACAGGGAAAAUUCCUUUGUAUACGGCGGAUUUGUCGGCGCGCCCGGGGAAAGUGUAAUCCGGGGCGUGACAGAUUAAUUUGGUAUCAGAGCUUAGCUAUAGGUCGUUGGGACCUAGAAAACCUAAGUUUGGCGAACCUUAGGAAAGCAAGACGCGAGAGGCGGAAUUUAUUGCGAAAGUCAAUGAUUAUUUGUUCUAACUCCUCCUAGAGUGGAGUGAGUGACUGAAGGAGUUCCUGUUUUGGCCUGAGAAAUUAUGUUGGCUGCAGACGACAUAAUUUUGGAGGGAAACAGGGACCGCCUUCUAGACUUUCGUUGAUUGGGUCGAUAGUGUUGUGUUGUAUCUGACCCCGAUUUGUUCUUUUCAGCUAUGUAUCGUCGCCGAGGUCGACCGUCGUUGCGGGAGCGUGCCCAGUUGGCGCGGGAUCGUGUGGGAUCUCCCGAGAUGCCUGAGCAGGCAGAGGCGAGUGCACCCCCAGUUGUAGAGCAGAGGGCCCGACCGGAGGCGAGUGCAUCCCCAGAUUUGAGUGCACAGUUGGCUGCCCUGACUGAGGUGACGAGACAGCAGGGGGAGCUAUUGCAGAGGUUGUGUGAGAGGAUAGCUCAGCCACCGAGUUCUGUACCGAGGGCACCAGAGUCGCCAGUUCCACCCCCGACUACUCCAGUGACAGCACCAGCUGCAGCAGUUCCUCCAUCGGCAGCAGUUCCAGUAGCGCCAGUUGCGCCUGCUAGGGGGCCAGUACCGUUGACUGAGGCUGAGCAGGAGCGGUGGACGGAGAGGUUAGCUCGUUUUCGCCGAUUUGAUCCACCGAUCUUCGAUGGCAGAGGCACUGAGGCCUGGAUUGUUGAGGGAUGGGUCAGUGCGAUGGAGAAGUUAUUCGAGGAUCUGUUCGUUCCAGAGGGGGAGCAGGUACCCCUGGGAGUACACUGUCUAGCAGGUGAUGCUCAUGACUGGUGGCGGAGAACGAGGCGAGACCAGGGGCUAGUGGCGGCGCAGCUGAGUUGGGAUGAGUUCUGUGGAAUGCUGUUUGGGAUGUUCUUUCCCAACAGUGUGAAGCAGAAGCUCGAGGAGGAUUUGAGGAGGCUUCAGCAGGGAGAUCGCCCAGUGCAGGAGUACGUUCGGGAGUUUACUCGACUCCUGAACUGUGUACCAUUUGCGGCCAGAGACGAGGCGCACAGAGUAUACAUGUUCGAGCAGGGGCUGAGACCGGACAUCUUCAGGUUAGUGCGGGCGCAGAGGUCGAGGACCCUGGAUGCGUCCAUAGAGCAGGCCCUAUGGGUGGAGAGAGGUGAGGUGUCGCUGCAGGAGAGGACUCAGGCCGUGGGGCAGGGUCAGGACAGGAAGCGCCCCUUUCCAGAUGACGGAGGGCAGUCGAGCAGCAGACGUCCGCCGAGACCUCCACGAUCACGUUCUCAGGGUCGUGGGUCUUCGGGGCGUCAGCGUUCCAGGGGAUCCCGUCAGCAGGGGCAGACUCAGAGGACGCCACAGUGUGUGAUCUGCGGGGGACCACACUGGCCUCGGCAGUGCGAGCAGAGAGAGGGCAGGUGCUACGGAUGUGGUCAGCCGGGACACAUGAGGGCAGCUUGUCCCCGAGCAGCAUCUCCAGCACCGUCAUCAGCUUCGGCACCACCAGCACCACAGCAGUCUUACGGAGCAGCACCGAGCUACCGCCAGGAGGACAGAUCGUCUGUGCCGCGGUCGAGUGAGCGGCGACAGCAGGCUCCGAGUGGCAGGGUCUAUGCAGCUCAGGUGGAGGACUCUUCAGCAGCCGACCGAGUGGUGGCAGGUAUCACUUUGAUUUCUGGCAUUAGAGUUCGCACUCUUUUUGAUACCGGUGCAUCGCAUUCCUUUGUUAGCCGAGCAUUUGCAUUGUUGCAUGGUCUAGAGUUAGGAGCGUUGUCUCAGGCACGAGAGGUGCAGAUCCCCGACCAUGUCUUGCAGGUUACAGAGUGUUGUUGGUCCUGUCCGGUGCAGUUAGACUCUUGGAUCAUGCCCGCAGACCUGUUGGUGUUAGGGCAGCUGCAGGACUUCGACGUAGUGCUCGGUAUGGAUUGGCUGGCGCGGUACUAUGCUACGAUCGACUGUGGAGCGAGGACGGUGACGUUCCGCGAGCCAGGCCAGGAGGAGUUUACUUUCAGAGGCUGCAGGAGCACGCUGUUUGCCACCUGGAUAUCUUCGGCGAGGGCUCGACAGAUGCUGAGCAGUGGGUGUAUCGCUUUCCUAGCGACAGUUGUGGAGGUACCUACGGCGGCGCCGAGACUCGAGGACAUCCCAGUAGUCCGCGAGUUUUCGGAUGUGUUUCCCCCUGAGUUGACGACAUUGCCGCCGGAGAGGGAGAUUGAGUUUGUGAUUGAUGUAGUUCCUGGAACUGCACCAAUCUCAAAGGUACCUUACAGGAUGGCACCGGCAGAGCUGAGAGAGCUAAAGGCGCAACUUCAGGAUCUGAUGGAUAGAGGGUUUGUGAGACCCAGUGUGUCGCCUUGGGGAGCGCCGGUGUUAUUUGUAAAGAAGAAGGAUGGUUCGCUCAGGUUAUGUGUGGAUUACCGGGAGCUGAAUAAAGUGACCAUCAAGAACAAGUAUCCUCUGCCGCGCAUUGAUGAUCUAUUCGAUCAGCUGCAAGGAUCUUGUGUCUUUUCGAAGAUUGAUCUCCAGUCAGGUUACCACCAGCUGAGGGUGAGGGCCGAGGAUGUUCCCAAGACGGCUUUUCGGACUCGGUACGGGCAUUAUGAGUUCACGGUGAUGCCUUUUGGAUUGACGAAUGCCCCUGCCGCAUUCAUGGAUUUGAUGAACAGAGUGUUCAAGCCGUUCUUGGAUAGGUUUGUGGUAGUCUUCAUCGACGAUAUCCUGAUUUACUCCCGGAGUGAUGCUGAGCAUGAGGAGCACUUGAGGAUUGUGCUACAGCUUCUGCGCGAGAAGAAGUUGUAUGCCAAGUUAAAGAAGUGCGAGUUCUGGCUACGGGAGGUUGCUUUCUUGGGCCACGUGAUUUCAGCUGAGGGCGUAGCAGUGGACCCGAAGAAGAUUGAGGCGAUUCGAGAUUGGCCUAGACCGACGACGGUUACUGAGGUACGGAGCUUCCUGGGACUGGCAGGAUAUUACCGUCGGUUUGUGGAAGGCUUUGCGAAGCUUUCCACACCCCUCACACGCUUGACGCGGAAGGGGAUUCGUUUUGUCUGGAGCGACGACUGUCAGAGGAGCUUUGACGAGUUGAGAUUGAGGUUGAUGUCGGCUCCUAUCCUUGCCCUUCCUGUUAUGGGCGAAGGAUUUGUGAUCUACAGUGAUGCAUCGCACAGUGGACUUGGUUGCGUGCUGAUGCAGCAUGGUAGGGUGAUUGCUUAUGCUUCACGGCAGUUAAAGGAUUAUGAGAAGAAUUACCCUACGCAUGACUUGGAGCUUGCCGCGGUGGUUUUUGCUUUGAAGCUCUGGCGGCAUUACUUGUACGGCGAGCACUGCGAGAUUUUUACUGAUCAUAAAAGUCUCAAGUAUCUGUUCACCCAAAAGGAGUUGAAUUUGAGACAGCGCCGGUGGUUGGAGUUGCUGAAGGAUUAUGACAUCAGUAUCCAGUAUCAUCCCGGCAAGGCGAAUGUGGUGGCAGAUGCGUUGAGCAGGAAGGCAGUGCAGAGCUUGAGUAUGUUGAUCACUCGGCAGAGACCGUUACUCGAGGAGCUGAGACGGCUGGGACUCGAGGUAGUGUCCCCUGGAUUUACUGCGAGAUUGAUGUCUAUGAUCUUGCAGCCCACUCUGUUAGAUAGGAUUCGAGAGAAACAGAGUGGGGAUCCACACUUGUCGAGGAUUCGAGAGCAGCUUGAGAGGGGACAGGCCGAGGGCUUUGUUGUGGACAGUUCGGGAGUACUGCGGUACAGGGACCGACUGUGUGUACCUAUGGAUUCAGAGAUCCGAGAGGACAUCUUGAGAGAGGCUCACUGUUCACCUUAUACGGUUCACCCCGGUGGAACCAAAAUGUAUAAGGAUUUAAAGGCUCAGUUUUGGUGGAAUGGAAUGAAGAGGGACAUUGGUAGAUUUGUGGCUCAGUGUCUGACUUGUCAACAGGUAAAGGCCGAGCAUCAGGUACCUGCUGGCAAGCUUCAGAGUCUACCAGUGCCCGAGUGGAAAUGGGAGCAGAUCACGAUGGACUUUGUCGUCGGAUUGCCGAGAGCACAGGGUGGUUUUGAUGCGAUUUGGGUGAUAGUGGACAGACUGACCAAGUCUGCUCACUUCUUACCAGUGCAGACCACUUGGUCCAGAGAGAGACUCGCUCAGUUGUACUUGGAUGAGAUAGUGAGGUUGCAUGGCGUGCCCACUUCGAUAGUAUCCGACCGGGACCCGAGGUUCGUAUCGCACUUCUGGAGGAGUCUUCAGACGGCCUUGGGCACUCAGUUGCAGUUCAGCACAGCAUUUCACCCACAGACAGAUGGUCAGUCAGAGCGGACCAUUCAGACUCUAGAGGACAUGCUGAGGGCAUGUGUCUUGGACUUUGGAGGAGGGUGGUAUCGGCAUUUGAGACUGGUUGAGUUUGCGUACAACAACAGCUAUCAAGCGAGCAUCCGGAUGGCUCCGUUUGAGGCGUUGUAUGGACGCAGAUGUCGAUCCCCUUUGUUUUGGAGUGAUGUGGGUGAGAGGAGGACGCUUGGGCCUGAGAUUCUGAUUGAGGCUGAGGAAAAGGUAAAAGAGGCGCGACGGCACAUAUUAGCAGCCCAGAGUCGACAGAGGAGCUAUGCUGAUACCCGGAGACGAGACUUGGAGUUCCAGGUGGGAGAUCAUGUUUUUCUUAAAGUCUCGCCGUCCAGAGGGAUUCGCCGAUUUGGUGUACGUGGAAAGCUCAGUCCACGUUUUGUAGGCCCUUUCGAGGUAUUGGAGCGAGUCGGGCCAGUUGCUUACAGGAUUGCUCUACCACCACGGCUAGCCGGCAUUCAUGAUGUGUUCCACGUCUCGGCUUUGAGGAAAUAUGUGUUCGACCCCUCCCACGUGAUCGACUUCACUCCGCUUGAGAUUGGCGAGGACCUGAGCUACGAGGAGCGACCGGUGCGGAUUCUGGCUCGUGAGUCGAGGGAAUUGCGCAACCGGGUCAUACCCUUUGUAAAGGUGCAGUGGAGUAAUCACGAGGAGCGGGAGGCGACUUGGGAGCCGGAGGCGGUGAUGAAGGAGUCCUACCCCUACCUGUUUGAGGCCCUGGAUUGAGGUAUGUGUACAGUUUCGCGGACGAAACUUUUUGUAGUGGGGGAGGAUGUAGUGUUCCUGAGCUUUGGAUAGGAUUGGCUUCAGUAUUAUAGACUGGUCGACAUCUCUGGAGAGUGUCGGACUGAGUCGGAGUCAAUUCUGCACGAAUUGGAUGCAGAAUUGGACUCGGCGCACUCAAAUAAGCAAAACUGGAGUUUUGCCAGAUUCGGGCGCCCAGAACAUUGUUAGGGUCGCCCAGAAACGAGUGUUGAAUUUAACUGAAACUGGAAGCCAAUUCGGAUCCCAUGUUCCGGGCGCCCAGAAGUGGGUCCGGAAAUUUCACCUCGUGAAUAUCGCUUGCUUCGACGCGUGGCAGGGCGGUAGGUGAGUUCCGCCGGUGCCGUUUACGGGCGCAGCACACCGCGGGCGGAGAGUCCGAGGGGCCCAUUUUGUGCAGGCCGGAUGUUCUGGUCGCCCAGAACAUGGUUCCGGGCGCCCAGAAACGCCCGUUUCUGCAGGGGCACUGGAUUGCGGCUAUUUUUCCUGGGGCUUAUCUGAUCUAUCCAGCAGCCUAUAAAUAGCUGAGAAGCGCCCCCUUUGAGCUCUUUUACCUGUUCUUCACAGAGGACUUAGAUUUUACUCCCAAAUCCCUCAAAUCUUUCCAAUUUGCAUCAAGAUCCACCUCUCCAAGAAUUGCAAGGUGCUGAUUUUGCAGUUCUUCAGCGACGACCUCCAGUGUUUUGGCUCGUGCGUGACGUAGGAAGGUCGGAUUUCAACGAAACUUGGUUUGCUGGAUUCUUGACUUCCAGAGGAAUCCACGAAGCCCUAAUUUGCAGAAUUUGGUGAAGGUUAGCUCAGUCGAACUCAGGUUUUCCUCUGCUGUUGUUGCUUUGGACAGAAUUUGCCAAUUUUUGAUGUUUUCUUGGGGUGAACUUGGGAAGCAGGGGCUUUGUGGAGUUGAGUUAUUUUCCCUAUCACCCAGUACUGGAAUUGGGACCCUCUCCACCUGAUUUGGAGUUCGUUUGGUGAGUUUUGACAUUGGAAUUGAGAUAUUUAAGCUUAAAUGCUGUUUUGCUGAAAUUCAUCGUCGACUGUUAGUAUUUCAGCUCGUACUCGACGUAGGAGCAUCGGAUUUCGUCGAGACUUGAUUCGUUGGUUUCGGGACUGCGAGAAGAAUCCACGAAGUCCUUACUUGUGGAUUUUGGUGAAGGUUAGCUUGGUCGAAACCCUUCUCUUCUCUGCUGCUGUGUACUUGGACUGAAUUGUGGAUUUUGAUGAUUUUUAUUGGAUUUUUGGGUGCAUUGUAAAUCCAGAUCUUAAGGGGCUUUGUUGCUGGUUUGAAGAGGUUUCCAGCAGUGUUGCUUGAGGAUCCGAGACCCUAUUGCUGCCAGGAAUUGCAUUAGAGGUGGGUGUUUCAUCGGUUUCGCUCCUAAGUGCAUGUUAGUCAACGUGUAUAGUUCGAGUGUUGUAAAUCAUGCUUUAAUUCAUCGAUUAGCAUUUUGAAUGUAAUAUGAAUGUAGAAGCAUGCUGAAAUGAAUAUUUAAAUUAUACAUGUUGGACUUGAAAUUUGACUUAGGAGAAAACCUGCGUUUUGACCCGUCAUAUGCUUAAACUACCAGAUUUAGCUCUAGGAGCCGUGUUCGAUUGUAUCGUUGCCGAGUCAGUGCAAUGGAUACCUUGGGUAGUUUAGAAUGUAUUUACACUCGUGCUGGUUCGCCGAGUGAAUUUUUGCAGGGUCGUUCAGGCCGUUUCGGACUGUUGGGUGCCGUCAGAGUUGACGGUGGACCGUAUCGCCUUUUUGGCGUCAGAUUGUGCCGAGGGCACGUUACCUGUUGGUUGUUAGACCAGUUUAAGUCGAUUACUUGACUUUGGCUAGUUGGAGCCUGAUUGAGCUCGACAGAGAUACGCUGCAUACUCGGUUGGGUAGCGCCCACGAGUGCCACUCCGGAGUCAGGCUUUGUGCUUUCGCGUUGGUGUCGCUCAUGCCAGUUGGACUUGCUCUCCACGGACCAGUUAGUGUGGAUAGAGCCCGAUAGUCGCAACGGGGCAGGGACGGGUGUGUUCACAGUCCCAGGGACGGGUAUGUCUACAGUCCCGAUUGGAUUGGGUCAGAUUUGACAUUUCCUACAGUUGGUUAGUGUAGAGCAUGAUAGUAUAGUGAUUUGUAGCGGUUGAGUUUGUUUCCUGCUUUUCCUACUAUUCUUGCUCCCUCCUGUAGACUUAGUGGGUGGACCGAUGUUGUUUUGGGCGGUACCCACUGAGGACUACUUGUUUUUACAGUAGUUCUCACGCCCAGUUGUUACCUAUGUUUUUGCAGAGCCACAGGUUCCGGCUGCUGCACCGUCCGCGGAUCAGGAUCGAGGCAAGGGCGUUGCGAGUUAGAGCCCUACCCGACGUGCUGAGCUAGAGGUGCUCCUACUGCAGGUAGAUGUUUUGUUUCGAGUUUAUGUACAUAGUGGACUUAACUCGCCAGUGCGAGUAGCUUUGUAUUUUGGAUCUGGACUAUGUAUAUGAAACUAAGUUUGUUUAGCUUCUGUUCUCUCCAGCAGCUCUCUACUACUGUUCGUGGUAGUGUUUGAUUUUCUGGUACAGCUAUUGCUUCGUAUACAGGGAAAAUUCCUUUGUAUACGGCGGAUUUGUCGGCGCGCCCGGGGAAAGUGUAAUCCGGGGCGUGACAAUAAUAGUGCAAUGCCACGGAGCAACGCGAUGAGAAAUGGUGGAACAACUCUUCUAACAGUGCAAUGUCCGCCUCUCAGAUGUGCGACACUGGCGUUCAAUCUUCUCCCUCACCAAGGCAACCUCCUACUCCCCCGUAAGGCAGUAAUUCAACAAAAGGCUCGAAAGUAGUAGUUCAACAAAAUGCUCGGCGUGGUGUAACAUUUACGUAUUUUGUGCAAUAAAUAAAGAAAAAUGGUGCAACCUGUUCAAUGUUUUAAUGCAAAUAGUGCAAUGAGUCUAUAAUUUUACAAAAAAUGGUGCAACGAGUCCAUAAUCAGUUCAAAAUUUUCUCUGUAUUUGGUGAUAUAAUCUGAAGAUAAUAGUGCAAAUAAGUCCGUAAACUUUUCUACGGCGAUGAAUGGCGUCCCCUCCAAACGCAGGCGAAGCGGCUGUGGAGCAGGAGGGUCGUUGUAUUUCUCGUCCCCUAGUCGCCGUGGCGACGGCGAGGGCGACGUUCGAGAGGUGCAACAUAACGCUUAAACAAUUAAAGAUAAUAGAGUAACAUCUUUUAAAAAAGCUUACUUUUUUGUUUUAACCGUACAAUAAUAGUACAAUGUAAAACGCGAAUAAUAGUCCAACGCGGGAUAGAAGAGUGCAACCAAGCUCAAUGCAGUUCCAACCAGUGUAACUAAGAGAGGAACACUAGCAGCAUUGUUUUUUUUAAACCUAGUAGUGCAACUCAAUAUAAAAUGGUGCAAUAUGCAGCUCUAUUUAGUGCAAGUCGUCACAAACUAUUGAAAAUGCUCUCUUUAUUAAUGUUGUACCAAAGAUUACAUUGUCUUUGACGAAGAUGCAACAUAUAAAACACGAUUUGCAUACAAUACAAUAUUCUAUUACAUCAACUGUAACAAAAUGCUCUCUAUUAAUAUUGUACCAAAAAUUACAUUGUUUUUAAUAAAAGUGCAACAUAUAAGACAUGAUUUGCAUACAAUACAACAUUCUAUUACAUCAACUGUAACAAACUCUUCAAAAUAAUUAUUUAACAAAAGUAUGGAAUCAUCUAAGCUUGUUUGCAAUUCCACGCGCACGGAGCCGACGCUAACAGGCAUAGACGGCUAGGGGAGAGAGUUGAAGGAGACUGCAAGGAGGAGGCGGCUCGCUCGGAAGGGUACGAUCCAACAACGAGGCGUUAAGAUAGAUUCGCACUAUCUCGAGAGCUUUAUUUGCCAAGAGCCCUUUGGAUCUUCCCUCUACCAUGAAAUAGAUAGUACAUUUAGUAAAAUAUUAGAAUCGAUCAAUAACAAUAAAGAUCUAUAAGAAUUUAAGAACCUGAAAGAGAAGAGGGCCAAUGGGCUCAAGGCAAAUUAAUAAAGUACUCCAUAUAGUGCGAAUCAAUCUUAACGCCGCGUUGCUGGAUGGUACCCUUCCGAGCGAGCCGCCUCCUCCUUGAACUCUACUUCGGCUCUCUCCCCUCGUCGCCUAAACCUCCUGGACGAAUAGUAGCAUUGUCGCCAUUGCCUCCUUCGGCUCUGGCGCCUUCCACCACCGCCUCGGUUGCCCUCGCCGCCUUUACGUACGUCCUUUUUUUAUAUGUAGUACUAUAACGGAGAAUGCAUCUGAAGAACUGUUGGCUAAAAAGUAAAAAGGCGCUUGUAGUCAUUGGGUUCUGUUUCCGCCGCUUUCCCUUUCCGAGGAGAAAAGCCCCUUGACAUUGUCCUUAUGAUAACAUAUCUCGAGGACAGAACGUAAUCUUAAUGAUGUCACUGACGAUAUUUCUUAUUGAGGUACGGUUGAAAAAUGGCGCUAAUACCAAAACAAAAAUGCAGUACAGGAAUUUAAAAUAUAGGUGCAAUGGAUAACAAAAUAGUGUAAUACUGUUCGCAAUUAGUGUAAUAUGCUCGCAAGCAUUGUGAUAAUCUGCCAAAAUGGUGCAAGAGAUGCACCAUUUUAUUAGCAAUUGCCGACGAUCGAAGGCUAUGGCAACGUUGUAUGCAGAGAUGUCGGAAAUGAUUUAUGGUGGGAACGGACCUACUGUUUCCCGCCUUUUGCAGAACUUACCAACUCAUGCAAGUUAACUAGAUUAUAUUUUUAUAAAAGAGUGUUAUUGAACUACUAUCAGCUAAGUGUAUUGCUUCCAACUCAUGGAUAGCGUUGAAGUUCUAGUGCACUGCCAUUUUAAUGACUUCUUUCAGGAGGAUGGAGGAAAUGUCAAGUAUGUAGAAGGAUCCUGCCGGCUCGCUUUUAUCGGGCAAGGGGAGAGUUUUAAUUCCUUGCGAGCGCGGUUCUUCAAAUUCAUGAAUACUUCACUGGAGAUAUGUAAGAUCAAAAAUAAACUUUGCUACAGUGGGAAAAUCGUCAAACUCAUCGAUAUUGUAGACGACGAUGAUAUUCGAAACAUGUCGAGACUCUAUAAAUCCAUGCAUUUCUGAUGGAACUGUAUGUCGUGAGUAACGUAGUUGAGAGAAAGGUUCCUAUAUGUGAUCUCGAUGAGAUAGACGAGGUGCUUACCGACGAACGGCUGGAAUUGUUGAUUAGCAGCCGGUCCACGGAUGCAUCUACACCUCAGCCGCUUUUGAACUAGUUGGCUCGUAAGUUGCACUAUUUGUACUCUUUUGCACCAUUAGAUUGUAACUGUUGCACCCGAAAGCACUUUAUAUUUAAAGGUUGCACUACAUAUUUUUUACACUACUAGUUACAAUGCACUGCUUACUUUGUACUGGUAUUGCAGAUCCUGUCAUCCUAUUUUCAUCGACGACGCGGCAAACAGUGACGGAGGUACUUGUAUUGUUGAUAUGAAAGACGAGAUGGAUUCCGACGAUAGCAUCCGUAUCAUCGCGUCCUCUUUCGACGGAUUUCAUCGAACAUACAACACCAUGAAUGUUGUCCCAUUGCGCCAAAGCGACGCAGUGGGACUUACGGCUGAGGAAUUUGACGACGACGAGAUGGAAGAAGAGCUCAUUGUCAAUAGCGCUACGCCGGAGUCAGUUGGAACCGUCGCAGAUGUGGACGAUGUCCACGAGGGCCAGCUCUACAAAACGCAAGCCGACUUAAAAAGAGAUGUUAAAGCAUACGCAAUGAAAAGAGGUUUUGAGUAUGCCCCCACCGAAUGCAACGAUCUUAAGAUAACCGUGAGAUGUCCUUUCGUAGAUUGCCCGUGAAGAAUAAAGGCGCGUCACCUAGCAGGACUUACACAAUGGUGGGUGAAGAAAUUUGUUUCAAAACACACUUAUAGCCGUGCAAUAGGGGGUUUAGACCAUAAGAAUUGCGAUGAGGAAUUUAUCGCAUCUUUUGUUAGGGAGUAGGUCGUAGCAAACGAGAAAUAUACGCCGAAAAUGGUUCAGAUCGAGAUUCUGCGCCAGCACGACGUCAGAAUUUCUUACUGAAACCUGCUUGGUUUACCCCUAUCAGGCCAAGUAUUAGACCUAAACCUGAAAGUUGAAUCGGAUGUUCAGACUCGUUACCUUUAGGGGAAGAAGGUUGACCGCAAAAACCUCGAGGUGGUAUUGAAGGAGAUGUCACCCAAGGAGGACGAAGACGACAUUACCAACUUCAUGAAAUUAUUUAUUCUCUACUCUUUUUGUUGCAUUCUUUUCACAAAUACCAAUAAUCUCUACCCCAAAGGUCUGGUGGCUCUUGUCGAUGAUCUCCCCGCUUUGGGACGCUACAAUUGGCCGGAAGCAGUACAUCGGCUUAUCAUCGACAGCCUAUAUUCCGCAGCCAUUAAAUUGCAAGCUAAUGCCAAGAAGGUGGGAUACGUUCUUGGAUGCACCCUGCUUUUCCCAGUAAGUGUAUUAUUGUGCAAGUAAUCGUGCAAAAGAACUAUGUUGUAUAUGUCGAUCGUGUAAUUUUGUGAACUAUAGUGUAAUAUUAUGCUGAUUAGUAGUAUAAUAUUGUCUUUGCUCAGGUGUGGAUAUACGAGCACACUGGGUAUAGAUGUCUUCUGCCUUCCCCCCGUGCAAUAUUUUCAUAGGGAUCGUCGAGAGUGAAGGAGGAUUUUAACUUCAUUAGGUAUCGGCGCAGACUCGACCUCUCCCCGGAAGAACAAUGGCUAUUAGGGGUCGUGGCUGAUGUUCCACGUCGCCAGCGCCCCAUGAAUGAGGAACCUUCGGGGGGCUAUAAAGAGGUGAUGGCGGCAAUUGCCUAUCUGGAGGCCGUGGUGUACAGUCUUGCCACCUUCGUGGCCGGCAUACUGAGCAAUCCUGCUAUUCUACCAGCACCAACAUCAUCGCCAGCACCUCUUGGAAGUAAAAAGAUUAAAAGAGGCACGAAAGGGUGCAAGUACCAACCCCCCUACCGUCUAAAUCCUCUGGGCGCUCCUCACAGAGUGUCAAAAAAUAAAAGUUAGCACCGUCCGUCUUAGAGAUGCUCGCAACGAUCUCGGCCAAUAAGGAGAAACCCGAAUUCGGGAAAGAACGAAGGCUGAGUUCGCCGAAAUCUAGAAAGAAUGGGGCUCGCCAAAAAUUAUGGAGUCCACCUAGAGUUCCCCACGAGUGGUAAGAACCGCACGCCGCGGAAGGGCAAGCGAACUAGGAGCCCGUACCUCCUCCGACCGCUCUGGGGACGAAAGAAGAACGGCGACGACCUAAUCGCCGACGAAUGUAACGCGCUUAUUAUUUUACAUUCUCAGUAAAAGUGUGAUUCUUAUGUUACAUUCUCAAUACUAGUGUGAUUGUACUACACGGAGUUUAAUAAAAGCAUGUUUUAGUUGUUUAUUGGUGCAAAAGUUUUUGUAAUAGUGCAUCAUUUAGUCCAGUAGUGUAACAUACAAUUGCAUCAAUUGUAUGCAGGUUGUGCCGUCGAGAGAGAGCGCACACUCCCGGACGCCGAGAGAGAGCGCACAUCUGCGCCCGGUCAUUGUAUCUGAAGAACAAGUCGAAGAAGAUGACCGUACAAUAGUUGGUCUUUUUGCCGGCGAUGUAGCUAUGGAAUGCGACGAAGUAUGUAAACAUGUAAUUGUUACUUAAAUAGUAUAAUUUUUAAACUAAUAGUUCGAUUGACUCCAAUUUUUAAAACAAAAUGUCAGCUACAUAACGUCGUCAUCCAAGUAUGUCACGACGUCCAACCAUUAUCUUCGCUACCAGAGGUGCCGGAACCCUUAUUGCCGGAAGUGUUGAAGUCCGGCGAGGCGGGGAAUUGAAGGCGGGGGAUUGAAGGCGGCGGUAGACCCGAAAAAGGCGGGGAAACCGGAGGUGGCGGCGCUAUCGGGGGUGGCGGCGGACAAGGAGGCGGCGGCGGUACCAUAGGCCGCGGCGGAAAGGGCAGCGGUGGCGGAACCGGAGGCGGCGGCAGAACCGGGGAAGGCGACGAAACCAGUGGCUGCAGCGAAACCAGAGGCGGCUGCGAAAAUGGUGGCGGUGGCGGAACUGGAGGCGGCAGCGGCGGUAAUGGUGGCGGUAGCAGAACGGGUGGUGGUUGCGGAAAUGACAGAGACAUCGAAGCCCACAAAGACAGCUCGCACAAAUAAACGGGUAACUGAAUGUUACACCGAUACUUUAUAAUUAAUGCAAUAUUUCUUCUAUUUGUGAAAUAGUUCCCUGAUUGUUGCACUAUUUAAUUUUUCUGUGAAUAGGCGACUAUUUUUAUCAACAACCCCCCUCCCCCGGACGGAUACUUGCAAGUCGAAGAAACGCCAGGCGUGGCGUGCUGGCGACGAAGGCGGCUGCGCAAGAAGUAAAUUUUUUCAAGCCGGAACCCAGCAAUAGAGCGGUAUGUGAAUCUUGCAACGAUACUUUUAAGUAAUUUGAUAUUGCUUCUAAUAGUGUAAAAAAGUGCAGCAAUGGUGUAGUUCCCUAAAUGUUGCACUCUUUGAUUGAUUUGUAAACAACCCCCAGUAAUCAUCGACAUCCACCCCUCGGAAGAUACAUGCAAAACAAAAGGGGCCAAAAACUGAAGAUUGCAAAAGCGACAUCGUCCAACGAUUUAAAGUACUAUGGUAAGGGAGUGCUUCCUCAUGAGGAUCAGGAGUUAAUUGAAAAUUUCCUUACAAACGACACCCAAGCGAUAACCGUGUCUUCGAAAAGCAUUGACAUCAGGCAAAAGGACUUCGUCGACCUUACAAGUCGCAUGGCCUUAGUUAGCUCCAAUGUUAUUGACUCCUACUAACAUCUAUUAGAGGAGACGGAAGGCCGAAGGUGCAUAUACUCCACGAGGUUUCUUUACCAGACCAUGGAUACAGAUUUUUGCAAGGAUAUAUUUAUGACGAAUGUGACCGAGGGGGUAGUUAGUGACGCAAAGUAUUGGUUCAUCCUGCUCUUCGACUUCGAUCAUUGGCACUUGCUGGCGGUCAAUCUCCAAGAAGGGAAGCACCUCCACUUAUCCUCGAUUAAAAAUGUUAAAUACAACGCUGGGUUCGAAAAGCGGUAAGUAAGAUUACUCUAUUAUCUUCUCUAAUUAGUGCAACAUUCUAUUAUGCAGUGUAACUUAGUAGGAAAUUUUUGAAACAAAAUUUUUUCGACUUGUUUCGCCGCUGCGACACUCGUCCCGUUGACUAGGAGAAGAUCAACAUAGAAGACAUCCUGAUGCAAGAUCAGUCAAAUGACUGCUCUAUCUUCCUUUUGGCAUACGAAGAAUACCUGCAGAAGGGGUGGAACAUGAACUUCUCCCAGAAGGAUGCGACGAAGAAACGCGGCGAAAUAGCAGCAGAAUUUUUGAAGCAUUUUUACUCUCAAUGAUUCGAUUAAUAAUUUUUUAAUUUUUUCAGAUUUUGUUCGACAUUUGAGGAUUCGGUGUAAAUUUUCUCUUUUUUUACCUAUAAAUAAAUGACUCAAAAUUUCUCUGUAAUGGUGUAACACAACAAGCAUCUGCACAUAUUGAUCAACAUAGUGUAAGUUUGUAUAUCAAAGAGUGUUGAAUUGUUUGCGUCUUUGUUACACCAUUUACACACUUGUUUGCACUAUAACUUCUUGCAAGCACCAAAUACAGAGAACAAUUUGCACUACUACCUAAGUGUAAACGCAAGUUACAAAAAUAGACGGAGGAUUUGCCCUGCUUUCCCUAUAGAUACAUGACUCAAAAUUGAAACUUCUCCCACAUUUGAGCAUUCGGUGCACUGCUUAGAGAAUGAUUACACUAGUUAUCAAAAAAUGUUGAACUGUUUUCGUCUUCGUUACACCAUUUACACAAAUGUUUGCACCACAACUUCUUGCAAGUACCAAAUACAGAGAACAAUUUGCACUACUACCCAAGCGUAAACGCAAGUUACAAUAUGGACAAAAGAUUUGCCGCGCUUUCCUGCGUUGCGCCUGUAGAUGUCGUCACGCACUGCGGGACCUCCAGAGGCUGCUUGCUUCUGGCCAGAGGAGGGUUCCUGCAUGACCGUUUGUUGUGCCCCCACCUUUGGCAAUUCCCGCACCGCUUCUUUACCAGGCUGUUAGAAAUUGGCUCUCUCCGCGCAAUUUUCCUUCUUCCCGGUUGUAUGCACACAUUUAGCGAUCGCAGCAGAACUACGGUGCUUGGUAUAGGUAGCCAAUGCUCUUUGCCUCUGGUGGGGGGGACGUAGUCGUUGUAGGUUGCGCGAUAAAUCAUGGUCUUGAACCAGUCCUCGACAAAAUCAUACGGAUCCCACAGCCUACAUGAAAUUACUCCCAUGGCGUGAUUACAUGGGACGCGUCAAUAUCCCAACGCUUGCAGAAACAUGUCAUUUUAGAAAGAUCCACAACCUCCGUACUUGUAACGUAUUGAAACCUAGAUAGAAAAUGACGAACUUUAGGCAAACUGACUAAAGUGCGCGAAUGGAUUAAUUGGGCGAGUUCCAAUUAACCUACCAACACUGUUGGGAGGGUUAAAAAUGAGUUUUAGAAGUGUUAGAAGGGUUUUGGCAUCGAUCAGCGCAAAAUAGAAUCGAGACGGAGCCAAAAAUCAGGUCUGGAGCAAUGUAUACCGGUACAGCAAGCGACCUGUCAUCGGUUAAACAUGCUGAAACCGGUGACACGAAAAAGUGUACCGGUACACUUUGGGCAAAACUGACAGAUCUGCUCUCGGGUUUGCCUCUGCGUAGUCGUGUAACCGGUGACAUGAAAAAGUGUACCGGUACACUUUGGGCGAAACUGACAGAUCUGCUCUCGUGUUUGCCUCUGCGUAGUCGUGUAACCGGUGAUACGAAAAAGUGUACCGAUACACUUUGGGCCCGACAGCAAAACGAGGUCUGCUGCAAAAUAUAAAGAUUGGGAGGGUUUUUUGGCAAAUGUUACAACAUGUUAAUAGCCCAAUACCCCUUCCCCUCACAGCCAACACCCAUUUCACCCUCUCUCUCAUUUUCCUCUCUUUCUCUCUCUAGAAAGCAAGCCCUAGAGCUUGGAGAAGGUGGAGAAGAGCUUGGAGAAGUGGAUUUUGGUGGCUUUGGUGGUCCUAGAAGCUCUCCAACAAGUAGGCUUUGGUGGAGCUUGGGCAAAGGUGAGUCCUUAUACAAAAAUGAGUUUAGGGUUUGGAUUUAGACCUUAGAUUUUUGGGUUUGAUCUUUCUACAAGUGAGGAAAUCCUCUAAGGACCAUGAUUCCAUGAAAAACAUGGAUUUCUUAGACCCCUCUCAUGGUGGAUCAUUAGGGCUCAAAGUAGAUGCCCUAGGGAUGGUUCUAAAAGCUUAGAAACCUUAUUAGAGAGCUUCCCAUGUGAAUCUAAGCUAUCUUUUGCUUAGGAAUGAGAUCAAUCUCGGAGAAAUGCAAAAAUAACAUGUAGAUCUAUUUUGAUCUAUUUUGAUCAUGUAGAAACCUAAUUGAGGGUAUUUUAAACGCGUUGGAACGCUCGGUUCGACAAUCCGACGAGUGUACGCAAAGUUAUUAACAAAAACGUNUCUUUUGUAUUUGAUGAUUUUAGUAUUAUGAACUUGCUUUAAUGAAUGAUGUAAAGGAUAUUUACCUAAAUGCCAAAAGUUAUAUUUUGGGAGAAAUGAGAUAUAAAAAGAAAUGAUGCUGGAAUGUGACAGAACUUGAUUAUAGUUGGAUACAUAUAUGUGAUUUAAAUUUAGUCAUAUUACUUGUAUAUUGAAUUGCUAAUUCUUUCCCUUGGCUAUUGCUUGCCCUCGUGCAAGCCAUUGUGUAUGCUUCCGCUUAUGCAAAUUUGUACUCUAUUGAUACUAGUGUUGAGCCUUGGGCGAACAGGGGAAGCUCUGUCCGUUCGGCGUCUGUUUGACGCUCUCGAACCGGCCAAAAAGGAUCAGGCUCGGGGUGUGACAGUACUGGUUGGUGUGAUUACCUGUUAAGAAAAAACACAAGCCAUAGGAAUGAGUGAGACAAAUAGUGCAACGAGUAGAGAAAUAGUAUAUAAAAAUUUUACAACAAUGUAACGUUAUGUGAUAUCGUAUAAUACGUUUCGACAUUAGUGCAACUAAUAGUUAAAGUAGUGCAAAUAAUUAUUAAAAUGGUGCAAAUUAGUCUAUAAGACCUGAAAAGGGACAUCGGUCGAAAGGUUCAGUGUGUAAAAGCGAGACGCUUCCCUCGAGCUCUUUAUUAUCUUCUCUACAUACGGCGUUAAAAUACUGGUCAUCUUUUCCCCACCAUUUUUCCUCUGGUAAAAAUACCACUCCAUUUUCUUUCGUGUUUUCUUUACUAGGUAGGUAAUUGGAAGGCCCUUUAAAUAUCGUAUAACACUGUUUAUCAUCUCGGCAUAGUUGGAAGUGAGAAUUGAAUAACGCCUUCCAAAGAAGCAAUGGAUAGCCCACCUAUGCCGAGAAAGCUUGACCACAUACUUGUACUGUUUCGGGUUCAAAUCCUUCAUCUUCUCCAUUAUUUCGUUGAACUCCGUGACAGUGUAAGCACGCGCCGCCACCCAAAAUCUUCUCCACGUAGGGGUAUUUUUUGGCGUGUGUGGGAGAUUGGUAGAAAGGUAGUACAUGCAAUAAUCAUGAGCUGCAUUUGAAAAAACAUCGACUACAGUUUCAAUACGACCUUUUUGUCUGAUAGAAACAAAAGUAAGUAUAUUGUUUUCUCUGUGGACCUCGCUGUCACGCCCUGGGCUUCAGCGGAAGCUCCCCAGUCACGUGCACAGACCCGCCGUGUACAUCACAACCUCACGAGUACACCAAGCGUCUACAAUCAAUAUAGUAAAAGUCUACUGACUUAAUUAGGUAAUCAGAGCAAAACUUAAAAAUUCAUAAACUUAUACAACACAUAACCUUAUUACAACUGAUAAGAACAAGUACAAUCUAUAUAAACCCAGUAUACAACACUGAACUAAACUACAUAAACUUGUAGAUGUUUAUCUAUUUAACAUCGAGAAGGCUUUAGCUAGCCGCUGACCCCUCGCCGAGAACCCUAGCCUUUCCCGCUGUGAAAGGCUCUGCACAAAAACAACCAACAAAAGGGCGUAAGAAUUAUUUGUCACGCCCCGAGAUCGCCAGUUUGGUCGGUUCGGGCACGUCGAACAGACGCCGAACGGAGAGCACCUCCCCUGUCCGUCCAAGGCUCAACCACAAGAUCAUAUACAUAGAAUUUGCCCAGGAAUAAUUCCAAACACGUACAUAAUCCAACGAUAAGCGCCACAAGCGCACAAAAGUAAGAGCAAGUAUCACGAGUACAUACAAGUGAAAUAAAGAGAGAAUUCUAAAUUAUUACAUCACAUUUACUUCAUUUAUACCAUCGAUUACAUUCAUAUCUUCCAAAACAUAAAUACAAGUACAUCCACAACUCUCCAAAAGCAUCUCACAACCUAUACAUCACUACGCUCAUAUACAUAGGGUGACGCUAAUGCAAAAGGAAAGCCACUACCACUAGGGCGUUAUGCCCUUGCCACGGUCCUCGCCCGGUGUAGACGUACUCGGCCCUGCAAUAAGGUGGGGUGAGAAUUAUUAUCCAUAGUUCCCAGUGGGUUCGGGCGCCGACUCCGCCGAUCUCCCCAUUAGGUCUAAGCAGGCAUAAGCAGAUAGAUAGAUAGGUAAGCAGUAAACAGACGACAUGCUACUAUGCCUCAAUCAGGAAUGAAUGAAUAAAAUUACAUAGUACAAAGAUAGCUAUCAUACUACCAUGUCAAGAAGGCCGUGUCACUCUUGUUAUCAUUCAAUCACUCGGCUAACCCACAGGUUGUUCCAACUCAAAUCUCAAUCUCACAGGUGAGGAUCUGCUCACUCACCCGACUCACAAUCAAAUCUCAAAGGGGAGGAUCUGCUCACUCACCCGAGACUGUUUGCAGGACCCCAUAAGGCUAUCCCUCAUGUGACAAACUCCGGAGCGCACUGCUUGUGCGCAGCGACCGCCUACAAGCUCUGAACAGACAUGUGAGUAUGAUCAAAUCCUCGUCACUGAGGAUACCCUGCCGCUAGGGUCAACAUCCAUCAGGGAACUAGUUCAUCCUUAAGUUUAACAUGCAACAAGUGUUUUCAUCUAUACUCUACUUGUCAUGCCACUCGUUAGGUUAUCACCCUUUUCUAGAUGCCACUCGUUCUUUGGUUCUCGUCAACACAAGAUUAAGUUCAUCAUUUAACUUUACCACUAUAGGGUUCUAGAUCAUAAUUCCUCUAUGCUCAUGCAUCCGAACUCAAGUGUCAAACUCAUGUUGCUACACUACUAAGGAUCAUGCAAGAAUGGAAAAGCGACUAUUCAAUACCCUAUCAUGCAUAAUACUAACAUGUAUAUAUGAUCAACAGUAUAACUCAGACAUAAGGGGAAGCCCAGUUGCUUCGGGAUGACACCACCACCUCUUGGCGAUGUUGCGACUCUAGGAACGCAACUCGGCAAUUUUUAGGACGCCUCACCGGCUUUCUAGGCGAAAACGAAGCUUGGAGGGUCCUUCUCGCUAAUAACUAUGCACAGGCUCGACGGAUCGUCAAACCAACUCCGUCCACGCGUUUAAACACCUAGCAAUUAGGUUUACAUAUACUCAAUUUAGAUCAAACCCUAGCCUUUAUCAAAAACCCAUUCGGAAUCCUAGAUGUUAUAAUCGCAAGAAUACAUCGAUUAAAUCUCUAGAUUCAUGCAAUUUGCAACUAUCUAGCAUCAAUAGGUUCCAACCAAACCAAUUCUAAAGUAUAAAAUCUAAACCUUAGAAAUCUACCAUUAAAGCUUAAUGGAGCUUACCUCUCAAGCUUGCCCUUAAGGUGGAGAAGAUGAUAAUGAAGAUGAAGACCCACCUCUUGGCUUCAAUCUCCACCAAAUCCUUCUCUUUCUUCACCUUCUAGAGAGAGAGGAAAAGAGCUUAGAGAGAGAGAGAGUUUUUGGUUUAGGGUUAGGGAAAUGAGGAAAAGAGAGAGAGGAGUGGCCCUCAAGUAAUCCCCACAUAUCACAAUUGCUGAAAACCCCCUCCAUAAUGCAAGUUAUGCACGGCCCAACCCAGGGCAUUUUCGGGUACAGGGACCGGUCUGUCCCUAGAGGGACCGGUCCCCGAGAGCAAACUUUGCGGGCAGAGCAAUUCUGCCAAUUCUACGGGUACGGGGACCGGUCCUUCACUCUAGAGGGACCAGACCCUGAGAGCAAAACUUGUGCGCAGCAACAUUUUGCCACACACACCACGUACGGGUACUGGUCCUUCCCCAGAGGGACCGGUCCUCGAGAGCCCAAAUUCUGCAUUGUGCAGAAUUGCACUAGUUGCUCUCCGAGGCCCUCUCCAAUGCACUUUAUGCAUCUUUGACGCCUUCGACCUUUCCGAAGCGUACCAAGCUUAACUUCGAUCAAUUCUGAUUGAGGCCCAACUCUCGUACUUCGAAAGUCCGAUUCCUCACACUAUUAAACAAUAGUUCCCAGUGGGUAAGUCGCCGAGAGUGGCGAAGUACACCACUAGGUCAACUGAGGCAUGAGUAACUGACAAUAAGUAAGCAAAGUAAAUGCAACAAGUAAAUAAAGUAAUUCUACCAUAGCAUGCCUCACACGAUAUGUUUUCUAACAUGUCUUAUCUACCAAUUCAUCAUAACAAGUUUUAUAAUUCAUGUUAAUCAUCAGUUUAAUCAGCUAUAUGUCAUGCUAUAUGCAAAAUAUCAUCAUCAUAAUUUAACUAGCUAAUAAUAUCAUGUAGCUAUUUUCCUAUACUAGCAAGAGUGUAAAUAUUCAAGUACUGUCACUAUACUACUGACUAACAAGGAUGUCAACCUCCUAGUGUUCAUUACUAGGUAUAUUCAACUGAUGACAUGAAAUAUCUUUACUACUAUGUCCAACUAAGGUUAAAAUCACUUACAUUAGCCUAAUUAACAGGAGACUUACACAUGCUAAAGUUCGAGCCCGUGCCUUGCCUAAUGCCCCUGUGGAAGUCAACACCACCCACGGCAAUCCACUUCGGCGCCUAGUUUCGUACAUAAGCGAGCAAUCUGUCAUGUAGGCCAACUCCGGAGUGCCGGCUUGUGGGGAGCGACCCUCACAAGAAUGUGCGAAUGAGCACAUUGGCAAGCAAGCGUAAUCUAUAGCAUAGGUAUCACAAAUUCAUCAUGUCUCUAACAUGGAAUCUCAACUCGACACACGGUCGACAAUUAACACUAAGUCAUAAUCCACUAUCAACUAAUUGGUGCCAUGUUUCUUCCAAUAGAUAAUAUGACUUAAAUAAGUAUAUGCUUUACAAUAUAUUAAUGAUUCUAAUCAGCUAUACUCGCAUACUCAUAUACAAUCCUCUCACUACUCCCUAUACAUAAGGAAAGUGGUUUACUAAGGUCAUACUCAAUGACUCAUUCUAGUGUUCAUGUAAUUCAUGGCACAUAUUCUAUAGUUUACAAUAACCUCCACUACUUGGAGUCAACAAGUAUAACAUCAUAUUCAACUCUAGUUAUUUAACUAGGUCAUAUUCUUUAGUAUCAUGUUCAUGUUAUGUCAUAAUGCCAAGUUCCAGUACUUAAUUAGAUCAUAUACCAGAACACGAAGUUCAUGCUAGUUCUAUCAUAUGAAUACCAUGAAUAGCUUGUUUACACAAGUAUACACAACCUCAGAUAGAGUAUUCUACAUAUGAUCUCUAAACAAUUCAUUUCAUAAUACAAAGAGAUAAUCUUGUUAUAUGCUAUAUGCACAUAGAAAAUCUAUCAUCAUGUCUAAAACACAGAUUAGCAUACUUUAACUUGAGAGUUAAAUAACAUAAUCAUUCUCCACUUAGUUGUUAAACUAUACUAAGUGUUCCAUUCAUAGUUUGCCUUGAUUCUCCAUCUAAUGAUACAAGGUCUAACUUGUCUACACAAGUUUUACUAAUAUCUUGAACACAUAUUAACCGAGCAAGCAAUCUAUGUAGGUUAAGCAAUUUCAUAAUCCUUUUUCUACUAUAUAGAGGCUCCAUUAUAUCCAACAUAGUAUGCAUAUUGAUGUAUGCCCAAAUUCAUUCAAAUAAAUAUGUAUUCACUUGAAUAUGCAACAAUUCCAAUUCUAUAAUGUCAAAGAAGACAUAGAGGGAAUUCACCCAACUCGGUAAGGUCAAACCCACCAAUUAGUUGACGACUCUCGUCGAUUCCGCAAGCGAAGAUAUUCCCUAGCUUCCAAGUACCCUAACAAAUAUUUCAAAAUCAGCGAAGAGCUGAACUUAUAUCUCUACAUUAAAACCUCACAUAAUCACCUCAUCUAAUUAGAUUCUCACAUAGUAUAGUGUUAAAGCUUGAAUCCCGACUUUGGUUCAGGUUGGAACACCAAAACCUACCUUUGAAAGCUCCCAAAUCUCAGCCAAAAGAGAUCAAAUGAUCCGCUGCGAACCUGCUACGAGAUAGCAUUAAAACUGCUUCAAAGCUACCAUUAACACAUCCAACUGAAGAGCUACUAAGUAGGAUACCUUCCAACAGCUCCAACUGAGCUUUUCCCUGAGUUAGAAUGGAUAAACCACAACCCAAAACCAGCUUCAAGAGUCACCCAAAGAUCAGCCACAGGUUCACAUAUCCUGCUGUCAACAUGUAUUCAAAACAGCACCAUUACUAUCACUUCUACAACAUAUAUAGCAUCCAGCACACAAAAGAAGUUAGCUAAUCACUUUUCAGGCUUCAAUUCAACUUUUCCUGGUAUUAGAGUUGAUAAACCACAACAAAAUCCUUCCUCUACAGCUGCUAUAAACCUUCCCAAUCAGCUGGUAGCAAAGGGAUAAAGAACCAACAUCAACAUCACUAUUAUAGCUUCACUAGGUUUUCUUAUGGCAACCUAAGUUCUAGAAUCCAAGAAAUUCAAACUAAACCUUUCUUUAGGUUAAAUCACAACCAAAAAUUGAGAUUCAUCUACUUUAGGUUUGCUAUUUAUUUAGAUUAAACACAACAAAACCUAGCAAAGUAACAGCCUUGUAGUGUACACAUGCUGUCCAUAGUGCAGUUUUUAAGAUUACAUAGCAUUUACAAGCUCUAGGAAUCAAAACAUCCUUUCUUAGGGUAAUUAGAACAAACCCAAGCAAAAAACACAGCUACUUACCUCAGGUUGCAAGCUCUAACAGUUGGUUUCCUACACAAGAACUCUUCCUCACAGCCAAAGCAAUCAACUCCACCACUUCUCUAACCAACCCAUCAAACCAGCCAUCUACAGUUUUAGAGAGAGAAAGGAGAAGAAAGAAAAUGAAAAGAGAUGGAAAGGAAGGUGCCCUGUAUACGUACACAACUAGGGGUGUGCUGGAUCUGUGGAUAAGAGCAAAUAAUUGCUCUUAAACCCGCCCAAAAAUCUGCAAUUGCAGUUUACACUUCAGUCCCUACAGGUUUUCUGCACUUAACAGCAGCAGCAGCAGCAGUAGUUUUCAGCAGCAGCAGUAGCAGCUGCAUUCAGCAGUAGCAGUAGCAGCAGCUAUUGCACUUAAACCGCCCAAAAAUCAGAAAUUCUGCUUUUACAAAACAGUCCCUGCAGCUUUUUAGUGCAAAAUCUGCACUUGGCAGCACUUGUUUCCAAGGUUAUUUCGCACUUCCACUUUGUUCUGAACCCCUUUAAACCUUUCUAAACUUGUAAUUAGCUACUCCCACACGACCAAUUUAGCUCGGGGACUAACUAAUUUAUAUUCUUGCAUUACUUUGAUCACUUUGAUCAAAGUUAGCGUUGUAGUUGGAGAUUUGAUAUAUUACACUUGCGUUCACCAACGACACCAUCCCGCAACUGUUCAAGAAACCAGUGCCAGGAAUAUCGAUUUUCAUCCUCAACAACUGCCUAUGCUAAUGGCAGGAUAUAGUUAUUUCCAUUGAUACAUAAUGCCGUCAGCAGAGCCCCUGUCACGCCCCGGGACCGGCAGAGGCCCUCCCGGUAGCGUGUCCAGACCCGCCAUAUGUCGACACAUAUAAGACGUCUAGAGUAAAAGCGGAAGUAAAAGCGAGAAGUAAUAGAAACGAAUGAGCAACAACUAGUGAUAUCAGAGCAGUAUGAUUCUAUCUUCUAUAACAAUAGGAAAAGAGCAUAACUAAACCAUAAAAGUGAAACAUAAGUAGUACAAUAUCAGCUUCUAGUACAAAAAUGGUGGUCUCUAAUGCACUGGUAAAACUCUCAACCUCUCACAAAAGAAACAAAGAGAGGUAGACCACCUAUCAAACGAUCCCUCGGUAAGCACGCUAGCCCGAGGUAAUACUCUUUCCGCGAUCCCUGGCCUCACCCUGUGUGGAAGGCUCUGAAAAACAACGAGAAAAAGAGGGCGUGAGAACUAUAAUUUAUAGUUCCCAGUGGGCAAUUACUGACCUCAGCUCAUGCUCCACUAGGCCCCAAAAAUAAGGGUAAGCAACGAUAAUAAUAAUAAGCAAUAAGGAGCAUGUAAAUAAACUGCUGAAAGAAAGCAUAAUUGAAAUGCUAGUCUACUGUGUCUCAAGUAAGCAUGAUGUCAACCAAAAAGUACAUUAUCUAUCAUUACAAUUAAGUCCAAUGGCACUAGUUUAAUGUUGUUAACCUUUGUCAAUGCAUGAUGUAGAAGUUCUAUCAUGGCAACCAAGUAUACUACAUGUCUCACACUAUGCUAAAAGCAUGUAAAUGUAAUCAACUACUAAGCCUAUUUAGUAGUGAUCAUUCAUUCUCAAACCUUGUCGAUUUCAUUUCCAAUUAAGGAUCUACCAAGGUAGUCCGGCUUGUGCCGCCUAAGUGCCUGUGGUAGCCCGACAUUCCUACCCAUGAAUGUGUUGUCCCACUCGACCCCGUAGCGUCUCAAUACCGCACCAGCGAACAAAAGUCGCAUAGGCCAACUCCGGAGUGCCGCUUUUUGGGAGCGACCCUCACAAGCAUGUGCGAAUGAGCACAAAUGGCAAAACAAGCAAGGUCACUGUCUCAAGUACCAAUCCUCAUGUCUCUAACAUGGUAUAGUCGCUAGCAUCCCGAAGGUCUAGUUCCAGGUCAUAAUGAAGUCCCAACACACACUUGCUUAGUGCCUCUUUAUGACACUUAAGCUCCACAACUAAUCAUGUUCCAAUUAAGAAUUAACAUUAAUGCUCACUAUGCCCGGGCCCCAAUGCCUCUUCAUGACAUUGGCCAAUCUCACAUAUCAUCUAAGUCCCUAAGCCUCUCUAGGCUUCCAAAAAUCCCUAAUGUCACAUCUGGUAUAUAGUUUGAAUGCAUGAAAGCAAGGUUCGUUUUCAUAAUAGGGAUUAUAAUUUCAAGUCUCAACUAGAAUGCUAGCCACACAUGCAUGCUCUCUACUAUAUUAGAGGUCCCAAAUUUACUACAAAUAACUAUGCAUGUUAAACAUUCUAAAAUUCAUAAUAAAUACAUUAACAUGAAAAUGCAUAAAUUUCAACUUUACGAAACAUUUAACACCAAUAUGAGCAUUUCUCAUAUUGUAUGCUAGGCCAAACCCACCGAACCCGUCGCGUGCUCCUUCGAUAUCGCCGAACGGAGUUGUCCACGAGCCUCAAGAAUAUCCUAAAAGUGAUCAACGAAGAGAUACGAGAGCAUUACGACACAACCAUAAGAUCAAACAUUAACCUAGAAGCAAAAAGGGCCAAAAUUUACCUCAAGAGUAGAAAUCUCUUCUAAAGCUCCAAAAGAGAGCUAGAACCCUUCCAAUCCAAGCCCAAGGAAGGUUCUAAUCCAAUCAAUCUAGCCCAGAAAGCUCUAGAUCAAAAAGCCCCAAAAUCAACCCUAAAUCUCAUUUCUAGGGUUCCAUCUACUAAAAAUCCUCAAAUCAAGUCUAGAGGAGGAAUGAGCAACAAACCUCCUUAGAAGCUCCAAUCCAAGCUCCAAGGGUGAAGAUCUCCCCCUUUGCAAGCCCCAAGUCCAAGCCUUCAAGCUCCAAGGAAGAUGAGAGGGUGAGGAAGAUGCUCCAAGUCCACUAGAAGCUCCAACCUUCCUCUCCUUCUCCUUCUUCUUCUUCUUCUCUAUCAAGGGUGUAGAGAGGGUUGAGAGAAGAGAAAUGGGGAGAGGAGAGAGUGGAGGGGUCAUAUAGACCCCCUAUUGCAACAAAAUCCCAAGAGGCCCCCCAAAAAUCCAAUAUUGCAACAGCCCGGUCUAGGUAGUUUUCGCUCAGAGGGACCGGUCUCUCCCCAGUAGGGACCGGUCUCUCGCUGCGAACCCGAAAAACUAACGUUCGGGAACCGGUCUUUCCCCGCGUAGGACCGGUCUCUCACUGCGAAGACGCGCUCGGGGACCGGUCUCACCUGCCAGGGACCGGUUGCCUCAGGCUGCUUCAACACUGCUCACUGGGGGACCGGUCUCUCCUUCCAGGGACCGGUCCCCGAAAGUAAAAACUCUCAAGACUUGUCCAGAAUUCCAGUUUUCGAACUUUUUAGGUCGGAAAACAUUCUACAACCCUCCACCAAGUGUGGGGGACCGGUCUCUCCUUCCAGGGACCGGUCCCCGAAAGUAAAAACUCUCAAGACUUGUCCAGAAUUCCAGUUUUCGAACUUUUUAGGUCGGAAAACAUUCUACAACCCUCCACCAAGUAUGGAAAAGCUCGAAAUACAUCCAAACACUCGAACCUCGCAAUUUGCAAAGGUCCAGUGUGCUACAGCCCCUCUAAACUUACUGUCACGCCUCGAGACCGCCAGUUUGGCCGGUUCGGGCACGUCGAACAGACGCCGGACGGACAACACCUCCCAUGUUCGCCCAAGGCUCAAACAACAAGAUCAUGCAUUAGAAUUUGCCCAGGGAUAAUUCAAAUACAUACAUGAUCCAUACAACGACGAUAGCAGCACCACAAGUACUACACAAGUAAGAGCAAGAAUCACAAGUACAUACAAGUGAAUAAAGGAGAGAACUUUCUAACUAUUACAUCACAUUCAACCAUUUACAUAACAUGUUUACAUUUUUCAUCUCACCAAAAUUAAUACAUUUGAUUGCAUGUUCAUCAUCUAGAUACAUAUCCAAAAUACAUCCAUGUCAUCUAUGUACACGAGGGUACUCUAGUAAAAAGGAAAACCACUACUAGCUAACUAAGGCGCUAUGCCCUUAUCGCGAUCCUCCCCCGGAACGCUCGAGCUCGGGCCUGAACAAAGUGGGGUAAGAACUAUAUAAAUAUAGUUCCCAGUGGUUUCGGCCGCCGACUCCGCCGAUCUUCCCACUAGGUCUAAGCAGGCAUAAGCAGAUAGAUAGAUAGAUAAGUAUGGAAAUAACUGCUGCAUAGUAAUAAAAUUUACAAGUAUGCUACUAUGCCUCAAUAUACAAGGUAAUGAAUGAACAUCUCAAGUACUCUACUCGCAUGAUGCUAUGUCUCUACAUCAAAUAUAAUGCAAUGCCUACUAAGCUCAAGAUGCGUAUCAAUCAUGAGUUCAUUAUCCAAUCCACUUGGCUAACCCGAAGGUUAUGCCCCGACUGAGAUCUCAAAUCUCUAAGGUGAAGAGCUACCCCGCUCUUCGAUCAACUCUCAUCUCGAAGGCCAUAGGUGAAGAGCUACCUCGCUCUUCGCCCUAACUCCAAUCUCAAAUCUCAUAGGUGAAGGGCUACCCCGCCCUUCGCCCCAACUCACGUCCCAAUCCAAUAGGUGAGGAGCUACCCCGCUCUUAUCCCACACGGUGAGCUACCCGCUCAUGAGCUACCCCGCUCGUGUGACAACUCCGGAGUGCACUGCUUGUGUGGAGCGACCACCCCAAGCCCAAACAGACUAUGUGAGUCUGAUCCAAUCCUCGCCCACUGAGGAUACCCUGUCAACUAGGGUUAACAAACACACAGGAAUCCACCUAUCCCUAUGUUCAAUGCCAUAGUGUCUCAACUACACCAAAUUCUCAUGCAAUGUGUCAUAAUUAGGGAAAUCCACCUAUCCCUAAAUUCACCAUUGCUAAACCUAAGUUUAACACUUUUGGUCCAAUGUUACUCACCUCUUAACCUAGGUUUACUUGACUCUAGGUUCAAUCCUCGACCUAAGUUUACACAUUAGGUUUAAUGCCACACGUUUACAUCCUUAAGUUGUAAGUGUCUCAACCACAUUAAUUUACAUGCCACUCGUCCAAGUCAUAAGUGUUUCCAUACACUAUUUCACAUGUCAUCGGUUUUUAUCAUCACAUGAUCAAGUCACCACUUAUCUUAUCGCCAUAGGAUUCUAUGUCACCACAUUUUUAUUCUCAUGCACCCUAAGUUCACAUGUCAAGCCUCAAUGCUACAUUACCAAGGAAGCAUGCAAGAAUGAAAAUGCGACUAUCCAAACACCCUAUCAUGCAUAAUGCUAACUCGCAAGAACAUGAUCAACACUGUAACUCGGACAUAGAAGGAAGCCCAGUUGCUUCGGGAUGACACCCCCCACCCUUAGGUGAUGCCGCGAGUCCACGAAUACGAUCUCGUGAUUUUUGGAAGCCUACGCCGCGUGCUGCGGCAAUCUGUACCAAAACAGGCCUUUCCUUCGACUUCUUUGCAUAGGCUCAACGAAUCGCCGAAUCGACUUCGCUAGCGCGUCAAAAAACCUCAAAAGCUAGCUCCAAACUCAAGGAAGAAGAUGAAGAAGAUGAAGCUCCACUUCCUUGUCUCCUUCUUCACCAAUCUCUCAUCCUUUCCACCUUGAAGAGAGAGAGAAUGAGAGAGCUUAGAGAGAGAGAGGAAAAUAUUUUGGGUUGCAAGUGUGAGAGAGAGAGAGAGAGGAAUAAGCUCUUUCCACCUCCCUUUUUAACCCUAUUUGCAUAAAAUGCCAAAAGCCCCCUCAACAAUGCAAUUCCCCCACAAAAUACCAUAGUGCCCUGCUCAUUCUGGGCAUUUUCGGGCUUCGGGGACCGGUCCUUGGCUUUAGGGACUGGACCAUGUAGGUCCAAAAAUUCUGCACUUCCAGACUUAGUCAAAUUUCAGCAUUUUCGCCAAUUUUGGUCCGUUUUCACUCGUUUUUGCUCCGUGGGUCUCCGAUUCGCCUCAAAUUGCACCGAGACUCCCAAAACAUGUUUUUGAGCGCGUUCAAACCAUCUUUCCAUCCUUGCCGAAUUUAGUCCACGGUCCGACAUAGCCUUUCGGGUUCCGUUUUAGCGCACAACGCGUAUCGGAAACGCCCGAAUGCUCCCGAACUUUGCCGGAAUCAUUCCAAUGGCUUUCCAAACUAACAUACACCGUAACUUCAUAACUUUAGAAGUUCGAAACCUUACACUUACCAGUUAGGAAAGUACCUGGAAGUAAUGCAAAGCGUGUAUAUUAGUUCAUAAUCGUGCAAACUAUAUUAUUUCGCAUCGUUGUAAUAUACAAUAGUGCAACAGAUUUAUAUAAUGGUGUGAAAUUUGGUAUAUUGGUGCAAGAUCGUCCCAUUCAAUCCAAGUAGCGACCUGCAGUGCUUCCGGAAUGCAUGAAUUGAUACACCGAAUGCCCAGAAAAAUCGGUGAAAAUGACCGUCGUCUUGGUAAAGUAGCUGAAGACAUGCAUCUGCAUCACCCAUCCUCAGCUCUCAUAUGUUCGACGGAAGUGGAGCGAACGAGCCCUCGAAAUCUCCGUGAAACUCUUGAAGGAUUCUUUCUCUGGCCCGAUAGGCUUUCCAGUAAGAAAUUCUGACGCCGUGCUGGCGCAGAAUCUCGGUCUGAACAAUUUUUGGCGUGUAUUUCUCGUUUGCCACGACCUGCUCCCUAACAAAAGAUGCGAUAAAUUUUUCAUCGCAAUUCCUGUGGCCCAAACCCUUAUUGCCCGGCUAUAAGUGUGUUUUGAAACAAAUUUCUUCACCCACCAUUGUGUAAGUCCUGGUAGGUGACGCACCUUUAUUCUCCACGGGCAAUCUGCGAUAUGACAUCUCGCGGUUAUCUUAAGGUCGUUGCAUUUGGUGGAGGCGUACUCGAAACCUCAUUUCAUUGCGUAUGCUUUGACAUCUCUUUUGAAGUCGACUUACAUUUUGUAGAGCUGGCCCUCGUGGACAUCGUCCACAUCUGCGACGGUUCCAGCUGACUCCAGCGUAGCGCUAUUGACAAUGAGGUCUUCUUCUAUCUCGUCGUCGUUGAAUUCCUUAGCCGUAAGUCCCAUUGCGUUGCUUUUGCGCAAUGGGACAACAUCCAUGGCGUUGUACGUCCGAUGAAAUCCGGAAGAGGACGCGACGAUACGGAUGCUAUCGUCGGAAUCCAUCUCGUCUUUCAUAUCAACGAUACAAGUACCUCCGUCAAUGUUUGCCGCGUCGUCGAUGAGAAUAGGAUGACAGGAUCUGCAAUACCAGUGCAAAGCAAGUACUGCAGUGUAAUGAGUUAGUAGUGUAAAAAAAUAAUGCAAUCAUUAAAUAUAAAGUACUUUCGGGUGCAACAGUUACAACCUAAUGGUGCAAAAGAGUACCAAUAGUGCAACUUACGAGCCAACUAGUUCAAAACUUGGCGGUUGAGGCGUAGAUGCAUCCGCGGACUAGCUGCUAAUCAACAAUUCCAGCCGUUCGUCGGUAAACGCCUCGUUUAUCUCAUCGGGAUCACAUGUAGGAACCUUUCUCUCAACUACGUUACUCACGACAUACAGUUCCAUCAGAAAUGCGUGAUUUUUAUAGAGUCUCGAUAUGUUUCGGACAUCAUUGUCGUCUACAAUAUCGAUGAGUUUGCCGAUUUUUCCCACUGUGGCGAAGUUUAAUUUCGAUCUUACAGCUCUCCAGUGAAGUGUUCAUGAAUUUGAAGAACCGCACUCGCAGGGAAUUAAAACUCUCCCUUUGCCCGAUGAAAGUGAGCCGGCAGGACCCUCCUACAUACUUGACAUUUCUUCCAUCCUCCUGAAAGAAGCCAUUAAAAUGGCAGUGCACUGGAACUUCAACGUUAUCCAUGAGUUGGAAGCAAUACACUUAGCUGAUAGUAGUUCAAUACCACUCUUUUAUAAAAAUAUAAUCCAGUUAACUUGCAUGAGUUGGUAAGUUUUGCAAAAGUCGGAAAAUAGUAGGUCCGUUCCCGCCAUAAAUCAUUUCCGACAACUCUGCAUACAACAUUGGCAUAGUCUUCGAUCUCGGCAAUUAUUAAUAAAACGACGCAUCUCUUGCACCAUUUUGGCGGAUUAUCACAAUGCUUGCGAGCAUGUUACACUAUUGUGUUAUCCAUUGCACCGAUAUUUCAAAUUGCCGUGCUACAUUUCUGUUUUGGUAUUAGCGUCAUUUUUCAACAGUACCUCAAUAAGAAAUAUCAUCAGCGACAUCAUUAAGAUUAUGUUCUAUCCUCGAAAUACGUUGUUGUAUCAUAAGGGCAAUGUCAAGGAGCUUUUCUCCGCGGGAAGGGAAAGCAGUGGUUACAGAACCUAAUGACUACAAACGCCUUUCUACUUUUUAGCCAACGGUUCUUCAGAUGCAUUCCCCGUUGCAUUACUACAUAUAAAAAAAGGACGUAAAGGUGACAAGGGCAACCGGGGGGGUUGCGGAAGGCGCCAGAGCCGAAGGAGGCAACGGCAACGAUGCUACUGUUCGUCCAGGAGGUUUAGGCGACGAGGGGAGAGAGCAGAAGCAGAGUUCGAGGAGGAGGCGGCUCGCUCGAAGGGGUACCAUCCUGCAACGAGGCUUUAAGAUUGAUUCGCACUAUCUGAAGUGCUUUAUUUGCCUCGAGCCCAUUGGCCCUCUUCUCUUCUAGGUUCUUAAAUUCGUAUAGAUCUUUAUUGUUAUUGAUCGAUUUUAAUAUUUUACUGACUAUACUGUCUGUUUCAUGGUAGAGCGAAGAUCCAAAGGGCUCUUAGCAAAUAAAGCUCUCGAGAUAGUGCGAAUCUAUGUUAACCCCUCGUUGUUCGAUAGUACCCUUCCGAGCGAACCGCCUCCUCCUCGCAGUCUUUUUCGACUCUCUCCCCUGGCCGCCAAUACCUGUUCUUGUCGGCUCCGUGCGUGUGGGAUUGCAGACAAGCUUAGAUGAUUCCAUACUUCUGUUAAAUAAUUAUUUUGAAGAGUUUGUUAUAGUUGAUGUAAUAGAACGUUGUAUUGUAUGCAAAUCUGUCUUAUACGUUGUAUUUUCGUCAAAAACAAUGUAAUCUUUGGGACAACAUUGAUAGAGAGAGCAUUUUAUUACAGUUGAUGUAAGAAAACGUUGUAUUAUAUACAAAUCGUGUCUUAUAUGUUGCAUCUUCGUCAAAGACAAUGUAAUCUUUGGUACAAUAUUAAUAGAGAGAGCAUUUUCAAUAGUUAGUGACGACUUGCACUAAAUAGAGCUGCAUAUUGUACCAUUUUAUAUUGGGUUGCACUACUAAGUUAAAAAAAAAUAAUACAGCCAGUGUUCCUGUAACGUAUCAUACCCCCGUAAGUUAUGCCGAGUUCUGUCAAAAUGCGCGGAACGCGGAGUGGAACAAGUUGGUAUGGGCUAAAAGUGCAUUGGAGCCCAUAAGAAGAGGUUAGGGACCCGAGAGAGCAAGAUUGCAAAAUCUGGCUAAGUCCCAGAUUUUGGGCUCUCGAGGACCGGUCCCUGAUGGAGAGACCGGUCCCCGUACACGUAGCUUGCCCUUAAUCCUGAGGCAACCGGUCCCUGGGUGUGAGACCGGUCCUCGGGAGACCGGUCCCUGAGCUUCCUUACUCCAUUUAUUUCAAGGUUUUGGCUUAUCAACAUUCUCGACCUCUUCGAUAGGAUGUUUCCAUCCAAAUUCAAUAGAUUGCCAAACUCGCUCAUCGAUGGCAAUUAAAAAAGCUCUCAUGCGAACUUUCCAAUAAACAUAGUUUGUGCCAUCAAAAAGCGGAGGUCGAUUAGUGUUACCACCUUUACCUAUAAAGAUAGAUAAAUCUAGAACCUGCUCUGAUACCAAUUGUAGGUUAUGGGAACCCUAAGAUCUAUCUAGAUACUAUCAAACACCUAGAGGGGGGGGAAUAGGUGAAUAGACAAAAAAAAACACAAAUCUCAAUACGAAAAAAGUAAAUACGGAAAAUAAAAACCACAUCGAGAUUUACGUGAGAAAACUCUAAUUUGGAGUAAAAAAAUUCAUGGGACCAACACGCGAUAACAAUCCACUAAGAAAUAAAAGAUUACAAGGUGAUUACCGAAUCCAUGGACUCAAAUCUGUAAGAUAUUGAAUCCUCAUAGUAAUAAUCCACUUUUGGUCAAAGUGACCAAAGUGUGGCGAGAUGAAUACUUGGACAUAUUUCAUUUAACAUUCCAACUAUGUUGGAAGGGUUAAAGUUGAGUUCCAAAAGAGUUAGAGAGGUUUUAGUAUUGCUUGGCGCGAAUUGAAGUCGAAACAAUGCGAGAAUCAAAUCUAGAGCAUUGUGAACCGGUGACAGCCCAGGGGUGUCACCGGUACACUACAGAAAUCGAGAGCAGAGUUGCUCUCGGGUUAGCCUUUGUCAAGGUUGUUACCCGGUGAUAGACCAAAAUAGUACCGGUACCAGACUGCUGAUAGAGAAGGCUACUCUCGGGUUGCUGCUGCGCAAUCGUUAAACCGGUGACAGAUUGCCCAUGUACCGGUACCAACUGCAGGAAACUGCAGGUUAGGUUUGUUGCAAUUUAGGAAUGUUUCAGGGGCUUUUAUGUAAUUGUGGCAGCUUAUACAAGGGCCCCAACUCUCCCUCUCUUGUUCACAGCCAGAGACACCUCUACUUGUGUUUCUUUUCUCCUUUUCUCUCUUUAAACUCUUUUCUUUCUUUCUCCAAGGGUGAAAUAGGAGGGAAUUGGUGGAGAUUGAAGCUUGAAGUUGGAUCUUCGUCUUCUUCAUCUUCUUCUUCGCUGUUGGAGAAAGUUUUUGAGGUAAGCUUUAUAGAGCUUUAAUGGUAGAUUUCUAGGGUUGAUGUUUUAUACCUUAGAAAUGGUUUUUACGGAACCCCUAGAUGCUAAGUAGGUGAUUAUUGCUUGAAUCGCGAAGUUAUACGUCGGAUUCUUGCAAUAGUUCCAACCUAGGGUUCUAAAAUGGGUUUUGUAAAGUAGAGAUCCAAGGUUGGGAUUGAUCUCUUUUGUACCUAUUUACUAGGUAGUUUGACGCGCUGGUGAAGACGGUUCGGCGAUCCGUCGAGCCUGCGCAAAGAUAUUAGCAAAAAGGGUGUUUCGGCUUCGUUUCUGCCUGGAGAGCCGAGGCAACGUCCUAAGAUCGCGAAAUUUGAACCUUAGCUUCGUGGCAUCACCAGAAGGUGGGGGGUGUCAUCCCGAAGCAGUUGGGCUUCCUUUUAUGUCUAAGUCAUAUUAUCGAUCAUAUUUCCAUAUAUGUACUUAUGCAUUAUAGGAUGUUGUAUAGUUAUAUUUCUACUUCUUUGCAUGUUCCUUAGUAGUGUAGCAUUGUGAGCUUGACACCAGAACCUAGGGUGCAUGAGGAUUAGAUUUGGUGACAUGAAAUCCUAUAGUGACAAGAUAAGUGACAACUUGAACUUGAGAUGAUGAUAAUAGUUGACAUGGAAUUAGUGUAGUAGAGGCACUAUAACAUGAACGAGUAGCAUGUAAACAAGUUAGAACACUUACAAUAAAUGAUUUGAAUGAGUGGCAUCGAAUCUAGUGUAGUAACACAUUAUGACAUGAUUCUAGGGAUAGUAGAGUUCCCGAUUGUUGUAUUAUGCGUUUGGAAUCAGUGCGGUAGAAGCACUAUGACCCUUGUAGAUAGGGUAUCCUUUUGUGAGGAUUGGAUCAUACUCACUAGUCUGUUUACACUUGGCGUGGUCGCUCCACCCAAGUAGUGGUCUCCGGAGUACUUCACGACAGGGGUAGAUGUAGUUGUCCCGUAGAUGGUCUGGAUGUGCGAGUGCAGAUUCUCCUCAUCUAUGAGAUUGAAAGGUGAGUCGGGGCGAACCUUCGGGCUAGCCAAGUUGAUUGAGUAAUGAACAUGAAUAGCAUAGUAGAUUUGCAUUCAUACCAUAAGUGGAUAUAGUAUAUGUUAGUAGAUUGCAUAACUAUGUUUGUAUCUAUAUCCAUGAUAGUAAGUUUGUUGCUAGAUGGACACUUCAUGCAUUACUUAGCAUUUGAAGGCAUCGUAGAAUGUAGCAGUUCAUUUCUUUAUAUCUAUCUAUCUAUCUAUCUAUCUACUUAUGCCUGCUUAGACUUAGUGGGAAGAUCGGCAGAGUCGGCGGCCGAACCCACUGGGAACUAUAUUUAUAUAGUACUUACCCCACUUUGUUGCAGGGCCGAGUUCGAGCGGACCGGGCGAGGACCGCGGUAAGGGCGUAGCGCCCUAGUAGCCAGUGGCUUCCUUUUUGCAUUAGAGUAUCCCAUGUGUAUAGAGAUGUUGAUAUGUAUAUAUUGGAGAGCUACUCAUGUUUAUAGAUGUUGAACUUAUAUACACAUUUUGGAGAUGUGAAUGUAUUAUGUGGAUGUUGUAUGAAAAUGUAAUAGCUAGAUGUUUUUUUUUUGUUCACUUGUAUAUUUACUUGUGUCUGGCUCUUACUUGUUUAGCACUUGUGGUGCUUCAUGUAUAUUGUUUAAGUUACCUGGGCAACUUGAUGUUCAUGACUCUGUUUGUUAGCCUUCGGCGGACAGAUGAGGUGCUGUCCGUUCGGCGUCUGUUCGACGUGCCCGAACCGAGCAAACUGGCGCUUGUGGGGCGUGACAAAAUCUCUAUUUUAUCUUCUCUGGAUCUCGUGCACGUCGCCGGGUUGUCCACGCCCCACGUUCGAAUCCACGAGACGCCUAACUUCGAAUCCACGAAGCCUUGAUCACGCCGAAUCAACGACGCCCACUCGAAUCCACGAGUGCACUCCGUCUGGAGCAAGAACAAUAUGAUUGGUGAUGAUUUAUUGCUUAGCAUAUCAUUAAAGAUCUGUGGAAAUAAUCGCUAGCAAUUCUCAAAUUGAUUCUAGAAGAACAUUAAGAAUUAGGGCACCGAGAAUCAAUUUGAGAGAAGCUUGUUGUAGAAGAUGAGGAAAACGACAACCUACAAGGUUCUAGGGUUUCUAAAAGAUAAUCUAGGCUUAACCAUCUUUUAGUGACACCCCCACAUCAUAUUUAUAGGUUUAGAAGACAUUAGAAAUAGAUUAGGAUUGAAAAACCAUAUUUGGAAACUUUGUAACCAUAUUUGGAAAACGCACGUCGGGUUCAGGGCCCGGACCUUCCAGUAGGGUUCGGAUCAUGAAACUCUGGAUCUUGAUCCCAAGGUCCGGACCCUCCCUGCGUAACAACAAAACCUACAUAGGGGUUUUGGACCCUGGAGGCAAGGUCCGGACCCUCGCUACAUAUCAGUCAGGGAGGCCUACGAGUUCCGGACCUUGCUUUCAGGGUCCGGAUCCUAAACCUUGAAAAUCUUAGUUUUGAAGUUUUAUUAAAUUAAACCCAUUCUAAUGUCUUCCAAACACAUGUAAAUGAUCAUAAACCAUUAUCAACAUUAUUUAAACUUACCAAACAUUGUGGAUUCAUGUUUUGAGUCUUCGAGUCUUCGAUCUUCGUCUCUUCUUCUUUAAACCUUCAAGACUCCGACUUAUUUCACGAAAUAUGCUAACUUAAAAUCCGUAACAGCUCCGUGGCGUUGCACUAUUAUUCUUGUUGCGGCCCGCAUAGUUCUAGUCAUUUAGCUUCAGCAAAUUUAAUUUCUUAAAGCCGUGAUUUAGCUUCAACAAAUUUAAUUUCUUAAAGCCGAACAGCAAACACCGAGGCUGGCGAAUAGCGGGGCUAAUUUGGUCCGGAUUCUGAUGAGAGCGAGGUUGCGUAAAGCGCAAGGGGCACAUUUAAUGCCCGCCAAGACCGUACGUUAGGGUAUACAUAUCUCACGAAAUACGCGAGCGGCGGAUGUAGACGAGGGGCAUUUUGGUCAGACGACUGAAAAUCCGGCCCGAAUCUGCAAAAUCGAAAAAGGUGGCCCACUUUUGCAAAAGCGCAAAACUCGUGGAUUUUUUAUGCAAAUUGGCCUUUAUAUUGAUCAACCAUUAAUAUUUCUAUUAAUCUAAUUAAUUAUUUUACAACUUAUCUAGCUAAAAUAAUUUACUAAUUAAUUAAAAAGUUAAAUUAUUUUUAUAAUUAAUUAAUUAAUUAAUAUAUUUUUAUUAUCUUGUACAAUAUUCAUAGCUAAUAAAUUUAUUAAUUUAUUAAAUUAUUUUUAGUAAUAUUUUGAUGUUAAUUAAUUAGAUAAAAUAAUUUUAAUUUAAAAUUAUAACUCUUAUUCCCAUUGUUCCAAUCUAAUCAUCCAAAUGCUAUUUACCUUACUCCUAAGAACAACCCAAUUUUCAUUCAAAUAUAAAAUUAGUCUAGUUCAUCAUACUUAUACCUGAACUUGUAUCUAUCCCCGCAAUAAGCAAUUCUUGCUUAUAACCAAAUCAAACGCAGCCUUAGUGCUUGUAAAUUUUUCACCGUUAAAUCUACAUUUUUGAUCAUUUUCGCUCGUUAGAUCAUACUAUUCAACCGACCAUCCACUCAACCCUAGAGGGGACCACUAUCAUCCUAACUGGGGACCACUACCAUCCUAACUGCACAUCCUUUCAUCCAACGACAAAAAACUUAUGAGUACAAAAUGGUCUAUGCUUAUAAGAGUAUAGUAGCCCUACUUUAUAUAUAGAGAGUUUGAUAAAGAGCAUGUUUGUUUCACCGAAAUUGGAAUUUAGGUUGAAGUAGACUUUGGGCUGAAGUGGAGUAUGGUGAAAACUACUACUUCUCCACUAUUUGUUUCGUAGUUAUGAAAGUGAAGUUUCAUUAGUUUUGCUGUUUGUUUGGUAAGAAGUGUAUGAUAUAAAACUAAAAUUUAUUUAUAAUUAAUAAAUAUUUUAAUAAAUAAAAAUAGUAUAAUUAUAUUUUUAUAUAAUUAAAAUUUAAUUUAAAAUAAUUAAAUUAUUUUUUUAUACAUAAAUUAUAGGAAAAACUUCAAAUACCACCCUUGUGGUUUCACACUUUCUCAUUUUAGUACCCUGUGGUUUAAAGUGUAUCAAUUUAGUGUCUUGUGGUUUCAUUUUUUUUUUUAUUAUCGAUUCCACUAAUUUUUUCCGUUAAAUCAGUGACAAAGUUAAAACUAAAAUAUACUAAAGUGAAUAUUUGAUAAACCUGGGGUAUCUGAAGUUUUUGUAUAUAAUUUAACGAAAAAUUAAUGGAGAAGCUGACGAAAAGAUAAAUAUGAAACCACGGGAAAUUAACUUGAUAUACUUUAAACCACAGGGUAUUAAAGUGAGAAAGUGCGAAACCACAGGGGUCGUAUUUGAAGUUUACCCUAAAUUAUAGUAAUACAACAAUAAAAUUAUAAAGUAAAAAAAUAUUAAUCAAGUUUUAUCAUAUUUUAAUUGUACAAAUUAAAUAAAGAAAAUGUUAAUAGAACUUAACUAAUCAAUUUUUAUCAUAUUUUAAAUAUGCCAACUAAAUAAAAGAGUAAUUAGUAACAUAAUUAAAUAUAUUUAAAUAUAACUAUCUUUACCUAGUAUAUUAUUUUAUUAUUUUUUCUUCACAUCUCUUCACCGUAAUUGACUUCGGCCCACGAUAGGUCAAAGUCAAUUACGCCGUUCUUCGGCCCACGAUAGGCCGAAGUCAAUUACGUCAUUUGAGGUUAACUCGAGUUUCAACCAUAACUUUUUUACGGCAAACCAAACAACAGAAGUGAUCGUUUAAGGCGAAAACGACUUCCUUCCUCUCCACUUUCACCCUACUUCCACCCAAACAAACAUACCCUAAUGGUUCUUGGAAACACCAAGGUGUUGGUGCUAUAACAAGUUUGGUCAUUGAAUCAGCCCUAAUGAUUCUUGUAUCACGCACUACAAUUGAUCCCACAAAUAAUCAUCAUUGUUGACUUUUGAUCAAAUGACCAAAAAAGUAGAUUCAAAAAUUAAAAAAAUUUGGUCCAUUUAGAAGUUUUUCAGCUCAGUUUAUAGAUAUAUAUUCGAGUGAUAUCACGCCGAACACAAGCAAAUUGACUUCAGCUCGUGUUGAGCUCGUUUGUUAAACGAAUGAUCGAUUUUUAGCUCAUUUUUUAGCCGAACACGAGCUUGUUCACGAAUGGCGAGCUGAAUUGCCAACCCUAAUCCCGACUAGUUUGGCAAAAGGGUAGUUAGUAGAGAAAUUGAUGAGUUGUAGUUCCGAAGGUGAUUUUGCAAAGAGGACAUGCUGGAUGGUGGGGCCAUCUCCUUUUGAACAGAUUUUCUUCAGUAAGGAUGCUAACAUAGCUAAUCAGCCAAAGAAGAAUUUUCAUAGAGGCUACCGAGGCUUUCCAGAGCACUUUGUACGAAGGCUUCCAGAUGCCACCGAAGCUUAAUACCUUGUAAGCCGAUUUAAGGGAAAAUUCCCCUUUUUGAGUUCAAACACCAAAAGAUUUUGUCCUCCAUAUCAUUUAAGUAUCGUGCUAAUCAAUUCUUCUUAUAGGGUAGAGAGCUAGGAUGUUGUAAUUGGCGAGAGAGAUCCAUAUGUCCCUAAUCUAGUUAUUUCUUGUGAGCAAAUUUACAACUAUUCCAUCCUUGGUAUUGGCAAAUGACAAUAAAUCAGGGAAUCGAUUCAUGAGAGCCAAGGGUUAGCAGAUCAUAGUUGUUCCUUCGACUUGUCGGAUAAGUAGAAAAUAAGAAGAUAUAGAUAGUUUUACAGAUGUUUCUCCAAAGAGGGGAGGGAGUUGCAUUGGCCGGUGCUUUGUCAAUACAUGGUUUCCUCCUCCCAUAGUACUUGUCCAUUAUGAUUCUAACCCAUGGAGCCUCUUGCUUAUUGUAUCAAAAAUCUUAAAAGGUAUAUGAAGUAGAAAGAUUAAAAAGGCCUUAGGGUGUGCAGCGAAGUCGCUAUCCUUAAGGCUUAAUAUGUUUCCACCGUUCGAACAAUUUAGUGUACACUGGGUCAACGAAUAACCUUCCAGGAUACAAUGAAGCAUAAACCUGAAACUGCAUUUGCACACAUAAAGUCAGACCUUUGAGCGCUCAUUCGAUUAAGUUGUCAAAAAAAUAAAAUAAGAAAUAAGAAAGAAAUUAUUAUGAAUAGAAAACUUUUAAUCUGUAUUUCAGCAAUCAAUGUUAUGGGCUUAUAUAGACCAAGAACUGGUGCUACUUGAAGUGAUACUUUAUAAACGGUUGUUUCGCAAGGUGAUUUUUUAAUUUGUGACUUUUUAUUUGAUUAUAAAUACUAAUUAAUUACUAGUGCACACAUGAGUGAAAUUCAAUGAAUGCAAGAAUUAAUUCUAAUGAACAUAUGCACGAAGGGACACUAUAAAGUUAAUUAUGUCUUUUUCAUGGCUAGUCCUUUCGCUAAAAGUCACAUCCUUUCACAUUUAUUCACUAAAAAGUGCAUCCAUUCAUUAGAAUUCAAAGGAUAAAUUAAAUAAAUAUAUUAUUUUAAAAAUUUUCUUACAUUGCUGAUGUAAGAAUCUCCCACACCACUUUACUCUUAAUGCUGAGACAUUGUUCUCUAAUUAACCGUGCAAUGAGCAUCGUUGAUUGAUAUUUGGCCUUUCUACAAGAGAGCACUUCGUAAGUUGUCAAGUCUUUUUAUGACCCAAUUCAGAAGCAUAAAGAUUGAAAGAAAGUAAGAGGGGAUUGAGGACAGGGAUAGGUUGACAGAUGCUAAUUGUCUACCUCUCCACAAUAGUUUUCCUUCCCAUUUGGCAAGGCACAUUUUCAUUUUGUUAAUAAGAGGAAGAUAGUGUUGCCUAUUUAUUACGUGAGGGGAGAAAUGGAGGCCAAGGGAGGAAAUAGGGAACUUAUCAUUUCUACAACCAAAUAUAUUGACCAAAAACUCACCCGGGGAUCAAGAGAGCUUUCUAAAAAGUUAAUAGCUAAGCCUGAGCAAUUACGGAAUCCUAACAGUGACAGUUUGGCUCUAGGUGGAAGAUGAGCGAGUCGUUGGAGGAAUGUGGGAGCAUCGUGUUAAUUUCUUCUAGACCAACGCUAGUUAUAAUAUGCUCCAUGCUCACAGCUUUGUUUUAUAUAUUUUUGUUUCACAUCUACAACGAGAAUGAAUAGAAAAUGAGAUGGUCGGUCCUCUUGCCGCAAUCCUGAGGUUAAUCCAGAAUUUAAUAGUGUCGCGUGCCAAUUGAUCAAUCGUUGCCCAAGCCUGGUGUGUAAUAGAAGAUAGAGUGAGAAACACUGAGACUACAUUAAGGGCUUGUUUGGUUCAUCCAUUUUGGGUAUGGAAUGGAAAUCGGUUUGAUCAAAGCCGGUUAAUUUUGUUUGGUUCGCAUGAAUUGGUUUGGGAUUCCUAUUCCGGACUGGAAUGGGAAUGACCCAUUAGCCUUCAACUUGAUUCCAGUCUUCUAGCCCGGAUUGAGAUUUCAUUCCGGAAGCCCACUAAGUUCUCGAAGCUCAUGUGACCAUCUCACCCUCCUUCUCUUCACCCUUUUCUCAUCAAAAAAAAGAGAAUCCAUCAUCUCUCAAAACCCUAUCCCUAACCCACAUCAAUAAAAGUUUUUAAAAGUAAAUUUGAUAUUUUUUUUUGUAAAACUUAUUAGAGAAUAAUAUUAUAUUUUUCAUAAAUUUUAAAUAAUAUGAAUUUAUAUUGAGAGUAAAAUUAGUAUUAUAGUAUCCUAUAAUUUUUUUAGUUUAUACGAACCAAACAAUAAAAUAUGAAUAACUUAUUCCAAUUCCCAAUCCACAAAUAAACCAAACGUCUUGAGGGAGUGGGCCAUUCCAAUUACCAUUCCAAUUCAUUCCCAUUCCAUUAUCCAUUCCAAUUCCACCCUUAACCAAACAAGCCCUACAAGCUUUUUGGAAGUCUAACGCAAGCAGUUCUUUCAUGUCAAAUAAUGGUGAAAAAGCACACGGGCUGAUAGAAAAUUGUCAAGUAUAUAUCUCCUUUUUGAAAGCUCUCGAUGGCAAUCGAUUAGUAGUUCCAAAAAUAGUUGAAUUCUUGUAGCUAUUAAGAGAGAGCAUACGUGAGCAAAAAUAGUUGAAUUUUUGAAAGCUCACGGGCUUAUAAGUCGAAGUUCGGUUGUAGACUUGGCAUUCUGAGGUUUUGGUAUAAAUACCAGUGAACAUAAAUUAGCUCUAUGCAAAUUAGUCGACCUUUGAUGGAAUGCACUAUAGAAGAGCAUCAAAUGAUCAUCUGCAACAAGGUCUCAAAACACCUGAAAGAGGGGGGGCAUCCAAUUGUAUGUGGUAGUAAUACUGAUAUAACCAAUCCAGUCUGAUCUGACCAGCCAUGAUGUCAUCUGGCACAGCUCCUAAAAGUGCCUGACAAAUAUCCGACCACGGGUGCAGUGUAGUACCAGUCACGGGCUCACCAUCCACAUGAAGACCAGAAAUAACCGCAAUAUCAUGAAGUGUAAUUGUAAUUUCACCAUGGCGGAAGUGGAAAGUAUGUGUCUCUCGUCUCCAUCUCUCAAUCAUAGCUCCUAACAAAACCUGAUCUAGCUGCACGUGCCUAAGAAGUGAUAUGUAGUAGAAUCCGGCUUGUCGUAGAAGAUCGAGCAACGCUGGAUGGUUAAGAUCCCACUAGUUUAACUUGCGGCCAUGCUCUAUGAACUGAACAGUACAAUACCCCUAUAGUUAAAAAAAUAGUUAGAUCAUCAUUUUUAUUUAUUAAUUCUAUGAUAAACUUUCAUUUAAAAUUUUUGGCUCUCAUCUCACUCCUGAUAAAUCCAGACAUAUGGAGAUGCUUCUCUGUCAGGACCGACGAAUCAACUGGUCCUGCGUCCUCUAGAUCUGCCAUCUGCUUUAAAAGUUUUGCAAUUACUAUCAUAUUAGGUAACAAGUCCUACAUCGGCGUCCUUGUUGGGCUCUCUGAAUUUGGUGGACAGGUGUUUCUAUAAUGGUCUUGUUUACAAAUGCUACAUUUCUUUCGUCGUCCUGCUCUUUCAUCCAUUAUAUUACAAAUACAUGUAGAUCGUGGGCAACCUUUCUUCCUUCUCAUGAAAGGCGAUACAAUUAGCAGGCCCUGGGAUCGUGGUUAGUGUCGCCUAUCUAGAACAUGAUGAAAAUAUGGUGCAUAUGUCUCGCGAUAGUAAUCAACCCCCCCCCCAACAAUACCAACAGACAACAAAGAAAAUAGAAGAAGAGUCCAGGAGCUACCUGCACGUCAGCGAGGUUGAGGUCUGCGCAUGUUGACAAUGAAAAAUAGUCACAGUGGGAAGGAAGAGAGAGAGAGAGAGAGCAAUGUGGGCCGCAGAAAGCGACGGCAGGGACGAUGGGGACCGACAACCGGGGGGGCAACGUCGACACGGGCGACGGCGGGGGCGGCGACGACCGACGAGUGCUCCGGAAGAAGAAGAGGCAAAGAGAGAGAGAGAGAGAGAGAGAGAGAGAGAGAGAGAGAGAGAGAGAGAGAGAGAGAGAGAGAGAGAGAGAGAGAGAGAGAGAGAGAGAGAGAGAGAGAAGUCGAGACAGCUUGGAGGUGGGUAUACCUAAUGAAGGCGGUGAGUGCUUCACCGCCUUAUGAAUCCAGUGAAUGGUUAACCACCUUCACCCGUUCACCGCCAUUCACCACCAUCUCAAGGCACUUUUCCCGUCUUAAUAAAUGCGGUGAAAAGCUCGGGUAUUAUGAUUACGAUGAAAGGCCACAGAUAUUAUAAAGGCGGUAAAUCGUUCACCGUCUUAGUGAAUGUGGUGAACAAUUCACCGCAUUUAGAAGGGUUGUGACACUUUCCGAAUGCGGUGAACGAUUCACCAUAUUUAGAGAAAAAUUCCUAUAUAGCUCCUACAUGGCGUAGAGAAGGUUAGUUUACCAAAUAUAAAAUUGACAAAAUUAUUUUGCAAAUUACAAAAUUUUACAGGGUUAUUUUGUAAAAAUGUCCAAGCUAUUUUUUCAGACUGACAUCCAUAAUGAACACAUUGCCAAUUUACAAACAAAGCUGACUGCUGAGAAGCAUACAUUUCUGCAAAUUUUAGUAGGUUGGCUCAAUAGAAUCAUAAACCACCAUAAGCAAUAGUCCAUGCAGAGAAACCUCCAAGUAAAUUCGGCCGAGCAAAAACUGCAUUCCGCAAUGUUUGGGAAUAAGCCAUCCUUCGACAAAGGGACAUCGAAAGAGAAAAAUUGCUGUACUUAUAGAACCAAAUAUUAUUUCAGUGUAUUCUUCAAACAAUUGUGAUAAAAAUAUACAUCAGUUUCACAAAGCUGAUAAGUUCCGACGAUUCAACCAACCAAUCAAUACAUAACUAGUACAAUGCGGACGGCCAGUGCUAGCAGCAGCGUCGCCUCAUAUGGGAGUCUCCUCGUAACCAGGAUUUGGUACACGCAUGAUUAGUAACCAUUAAUAAUGUACAAAAGAACUCAUUAAUGCUGUUCGCUUUGCUAUCUUAUCUACAUGAAAACAUUAUGAUGUGAUUGGCUGGUUACCAAUUCUAUGGGCAAUUGCAGUUAGCUAAUGCACUUUCUCCUCAUAUGAUGCUAUAUGAUGAUAACUAAUAUACGAUAUCGACGGGCUAAUGAAGGGCAGCAUAUCAUCAUUGCUCACCAUCUGCCUCCAACUGGUUUCUGUAUACAGGAUUGGUCCCCAUGAAUUCGUGCAUCUUUUUACACACAUAGAUGUAAUGCGAAUCUGGAUCUUCAAGAACAUAACCAGCUGGAAGUUGACCUUUCUCCGUAAGCGGAACAGGUUCCAAGAUAGACUUCUUUGGGCAAGAGACUUCGGUGCUUUGAAAUCCCGGUCUCGCUGUGAACAGAAAACACUUAAUCUGUCUGAGACUCUGAGUAAACACUAUUAUCUCCUCAACAGCAGAAAAUCAAGAAAAUGAACAAAAAGAAAGACUCGGAAUAUGAUGAGACAUCAAAUGCCUACAUCGCUGGGCAAAGAUAGAACAAAGAUUUCACAGUGACCAAAGACAACAGAAAUCUCUCAAAAGUCUGUCCUAUGGCAUCCAAAAAGCUUAAAAGAAAAUCAUCGCUGAAAACCUUGGGCAAGAGGGAUUGAGAUAGUCGUAAAUAACUAAGCAGGGCUUCGGCAAAGUCCUGUUAUCACUAUAGAUCUCAAACAGUGUUCAAGUUCCUAUAAAAUUUGUUGAGUUGCAACAUAGAAUAGGGGGGACACAUAAAACAAAAGCAGCAGCAAAAAAGCUUUAACUACUGGUAAACUAAGAACAUAUUUGUCAUUCGAGAAGAAGGGAACUAAAAAGGAAGGUCUUGCGUACUUACGUAUUACAAAGAGUACAAUUUUCCAACCAUAUCUUGCUUGGUUCAAAUGUGGAAUUCGCACUGAUGGAUCACCGUAAGUUAUCUACCAAGAACAACGAAAAACUUCAUUAACUUUCGACGAAAGAACAAAACAACAUUUGAAUGAGGAUAGUGUAAACUAAGGAUUUACCAACAUGAAGAUCCCGCCAGGUCUAAGUAACCUGUACUCAAAAAUUAUAAAUUAAGCAGCACAUAUAAGAAAGAAAACAACCGUUUAGCAUCCAAUGAGAUGUUAAGGUCUUGGUUGGCGUUUUCUCCUCUUUUUUUUUCCGGUCUUUGUAAGAUGCAAAUUCUAUGUGAUUGGAUGCAAGUCUAUUUUUUCAUUACCAAACAAGCAGCGUAGAUGCAUAAGGUGCAGGUAAUCUGUCAUCCGCCCAUACUCUCCAUCACAUUGAAUUUAUGUGGAAAAAAAAGAAGAAGAAAGAAAACGAUGACAAUAAUACAAACAAGACCUAAGUUUAUUAUUAAACCAACUUCCAAAAGUAGUAGAUCCUGAACCUGCUAACUUCUUCUACCAUUUGGGAGGCACACACCGGAGCAUCUGCACCACACUAACAAUCAAAAUCAUGCUCAAAAGUUAAAAAAAGGACAAAAAAAAUGUUGAAAACGAAAGUUGAUAGGAAAAUAAUACAAUCAAAAUACAAAGCUUACCAUCAAAGAGUCCAGAGUUCCUAAACAAAGGCGAAAUCGCCAAAAUGUAAGUGCAGCACAGAAACAACUUAUACUAGUAUGUAAACACACAAGAUAGGAUAAAGUACAAAAAAGGAAAGCUAGUAAUAGUACUACCUUUAUCGAUGACACAAUCAAAUGAUUCAUCACGAAAGAAGCUCAUAUCCCUUACGUCCAUUUGCAUGUCUGUAAGACAUAAGGAUACAAAAUCAAGUCUAGAUUGUGUUUUCCAAGUUUGAUGAGUUGAUUGUAUUAUAAAUUGAUAGAAUUACUGUAAAAGGAUACACUUCAGCUGUGGAACAUGUGCAUAUUUCGUUCUCAUCAUCUCGAUUACGAUUGAUGAUAUGUCAAUGUUCAUUAUAUCCACAUAACCAUCCUUCACCAUAUCCUCUGACAUAACUUCAGAGCACAUAAACAAACAAAUAAACAAUUUGUAAGCAAUGGAAACUCAUUUCAACAUUUCGUCGAAGUUAAACUGAAUCGAAGACAAUAAAUUGGAAACCUAUCUACUACGUAGCUAUGUAGCUAUGUUCUGUAGUAGAAUAGCGAAUUAAUCAAAUAAUAAUGUAAGAUAUCAGCCCGUUCUACUAGUCACAAAUCAAACAUGGAGUGCAGAGAAUAGUCGCUCAGCCUAGGCCCCCCUUAUUGAUCAAACUCAAAAGAUCAGCUGUCCCAUCAUCCAACCAAACAAGCUACUUUAACCAAAAAGUCGUCUUAACCACAACACAAAAAACUAGAAUUACCAGAAACCAUGUUUGACACUUGAAGGUUCCAAAUCAAUCUUAUAGAGGAGAUAAAACUUUUUCCAUAUUAGAAGUACUACCCAAUAACAUACAAGUGAUAGAUGCCGAAAAAUUUCAGGUCAAGCACUGGUAACAGCUUCCCACAAGUUCAAAGGAGACUCAAAUGGCUAACUAGCAAUGGACCGAGUAGUUCCUUCAGUUGAGUGAAAAAGCGCAUUGGAAUCAGGAAUGAUAAACCAAAUGAAAUCGGUCCUCUACACUACUAACUGUUGCACAGCUAGCCUAGUUCCACAAUAUGAGUGGGCCAGCCACGAAAACAAAGGCCGUCUUCAUAGAUGACUACCACAGCAGUUAAUUGGUAGUGUUGCAUAGGUACCCAUUAAUGCCACUACAUAUGGCUCACGUUCCUCCACAUGGUGUGAGAACAAGCAAUAACUAUAUAGUAUAUACUUUCUUGCACCUUGGUAGUCACUACUUGAGUUGCUAGGAUAACUGGAGUUAUCUUGUUUUCUCCUUGAAGGCGAGAGUAUAAAAAAAAUUUUAGUUUGGGAACCGCUCUAGCCGAUACACUUGGAGACUGAGCACACGUGCAACUACAAGUUCGUGAAAAAUCAAUAUGAUGUGCGGGCACAACUUCAAUUGUUCGAUAGAUCAAGAUCAAUAUGUAGAAUAGAUUUUAGUUUUGCAUAUUGACGACGAGCGUGAUUGUAGGCCCUUUCAUAGUUACUAGGAACAUGGAUUAUAAUGCCAACCCAUGCCGUAGGGCAGGGGGUGACAUGUACCGUGCCUCCAAGAAGGGGGCACGAUACAGGGGGGGCUUGGAACCCCCUCUGUGCCACGGCACAGUGCUGCGUAUCGAGUGAGACAGCUCGAUACGCAGCACCGUGCCAUGGCACUAUGCCGUGCUGGCACACUUUUUUUGUUUUUUUUUUUGCUUUUUGCUUUUUUUGCCUUUUGUUUUAUUGUUUGGGGGUAUCAAGAAACAUCCUAGGUACCUCACACCCCCCCAAAACAUUACAAAUUGAAAAUCUACUUGUUAAGUAAGUCAAAAUAAUUAUUUUAUCAAAUUAUUUUAUCAAAAUUUGUCUCACUGCGAAAUUUUUGGCGAAUUAAGAAAACAAAAUCGAACUCAAUAAACAAAUUUUGAGACACAUCAAACAUAAAAUUUUAUUUUUGCGUUAGAAGAUUGAAAAUACUAAUAAAAUAAAAAACUAAAUAAAAUCAAUUGAUACUUAAAUUUAUUAAAUUUAUUUAUCAUAUAAUUUAUUAAUUAAUUUUUUUGAUAGAUCUAAUAAUUUUUUUAAAAAAUUAAUUAAAAAAUAAUUUUUUUAAUAGUUUUAAAAGAUUUUUUUCAAAUAAUUUUUAAAAUUAUUUGAAAAAUUAUUUUUUUGUAUUUUAUAAAAAAGACUGUAAUAUGGUCGAAAGUAAAAAAGAAAGAAAGAUAUUUUUGCAUUUUAAAAAUCCUAACAUAUAAAAAUUUCUAUUCUGUAUCAGGUAUAGCUGUACUUUACAUACAAAAAAGCUUACAAGUAUGUUAAGUGAUGAGUAUAGUAAGCUAUAAAUAACAAAUAUUCAUAAUUAUUUGAUUAAAUCUUUCAAAAUAACAUUAUAAGAGCUUAUUGGAACUAGAAAAACUGAAAUAAGUCCGUACCAAAGUGUACCAGUAGAAGGUCGUGCGUAUCUAUCGGCACACAACCGUACCAUGUGUCGGCACGGAAGCGUGCCGAUGCCGUACCAUGCCAGGCAUGACUAGAGGGCUAUUGGAUAAUUGAUUUAGUUGCUUUAGAUUAUCGAGUUCCCAUUUGUUGAUAUAUUGCAUAUAUGAUAUUAGGCCAAGAGGGGCCAUUGGACAUCGAUAUAUAUUGAUUAUUGCAUUGUAUAUGCUAUGAAACAUGUGAUAGGUGCCAUGGGUAGCGUGGUGAUAGUGGGCAGAUUUUGGACUUCGGGAGGUAUUUGAUUGUGCUAUUGUAAUAUAUUGUACUACUGUGACAUGUGAGUAGUGGACAACUGGACAUGAUAUGUUUGCACCGAGGGCACCAGAUUAGUUACUUGUGAUCUUUUUAUCAUUGCAUAGACUAUAUAGCCUGUAGAGCUACAUGGGCUUGACAGCCCCUUCGAGUGUCACUCUGGAGGCUGGCCAGCAAAGAGAUUUGAUGAUAGUUGUGUCCUUCUUUCCUUCUGUAUUGAUGACAUCCUAAUUCUUGCUCCUAAUCUUGAUCGAUUAAUCAAGUUAGGCCCUUCUUAUCAAACUAUUUUGAUAUGAAGGACCUUGGUGAAGGAUAUGUAAUUUUGGAAAUGAAGAUUAUUUAAUUAUCUGAUUCUAUUCUUCUGACCCAAUCUCAUUAUAUCCAAAUGGUUCUUGAUAAAUUUGAGUAUUCUGAUUGCUCUUCAGUUUCUACUUUAUUUGAUCCUAUUGUUCAACUUGUAAAAGGCACUAGUAAUCCUGUGAAUCAAAAGAGAUAUGCCCAGAUCAUUAGUACUCUGAUGUAUCUAACCAAUAGGACUAGACCUAAUAUUGCCUAUGUCAUAUCUAGAUUGAGUAAAUAUACUAGUAACCCUAAUAUGACUCAUUGUAUUGCUCUUGAGAGAGUAUUUCAUUAUCUUAAACGUACUCUCUCUUAUACUCUCAAAUUUAUUGGUUGUCUUGCAGUAAUUGAGUGAUAUAGUGCCAGCUGGAUUCUAAUUUCUUGAUCCAACUUCUAGUUAUGUAUUUAUUCUUGGUGAUAGUGCAGUUUUUUAGCAAUCCACCAAACAGACCAUCAAAGUCAGAAGAACAAUGGAGGCCGAGCUGUUUGCUCUUGACUCUACUUGUCUAUAAACCGAGUGGCUCAAGAACCUUUUGUCAUCGAUCCCUUAGUUUUCCUCUCCUAUUCCACCUAUUUCUAUUUGGUGCGACUCUCGACCUACAUUUGAUUUUUGUAAACAAAAAUCGGUGAAUUCUAAGGCUAGUAGACAUAUUAAGUUAAGACAAAAGCCUGUUAAAUGGUUAUCUUCUCAUGAUGUUUUUUAUUUGAGUUUUAUCAGAUCUGAGCAGAAUCUUGCAGAUUUCUUAACGAAGGGCCUAAAUAGGACUAAGGUCUUGGAGUCAUCGAGAGGGAUGGGACUUUGCUCAUAAAGGGCCUUCCUACAGCGGAAACCUAACCUUUAUGAUAGAAAAUCCUUUAAAGAAGGUUUUAUAUGAUAAUAACUAGUUAUCGGAUUGGCCAAAGAGAACUUUCUACAAUUUUUAUAGAGGAGCUUUAGCUCCAAUUCCAUCCCUAUGGUAAGUAGUGCACUAUAUAGUGGUUGAGGUUGAGCUUAUAGCUCUUAAUGAGAUCCAAGGCGGAAAUUUCCAUGAGGUAUGGCUUUGUACACAUUCCUGGAGGAGAACACCUACACGAGAGUAUCACUAUAUAGACGAGGCUAUAAAAUAUAGGCUAUCCAUAGAAACUCUUAUGAAAAAUAAAGAUACAGAUGCAUUAUCAUUAAUGCACGAACCAGGGACGAAAAAUUAUGUAUUGUGUGUGAUAGCUGAAGUCAAGGCCAAAGGAACAUAGUUCAAGACCUGAUUCACUCUGAUUCUUUCUGAUGGAAGCUACUCAUACAAAGUGGGAUUAAGUCUUUUAAAGACACCUCAUCCAUUGUGCAGUAUAAACACCCAGAUAUUUUUAUUUUAAAAUUUUUAUUUCUUAAUUUUGAUUUUAAUUCUUGUUUUUAAAAUUUUAAGUUUUGUGGGGGAUUGUUGAAGAAAAAUAAAAAUUUUGAAUUUUGAGUUUAUUUUAUUUGUAUUUAAUAGUUAUUUAUUUAAUAUUUAUUAUUAUUUUUUUAUUAUUUAUUUAUUUAUUUUUCUUUCUUUCUUGGGGCGAAAGAAAAUCCAACGGGAAUCAAGGUUGUAAAUAGCCGAUAGCGGGUACAUAACGUUUGGAGAGUCUCAUAGCAAAAAGCGGAUGGCGGGCGCCAUAGCGAGCGCUAUGAACCCAUAGCAGACAUAUAAUUUUGAAGAAAAAAUAACUAUUUAAUGUCAUUAUCUAUUAAGAAUUUGAGAUUAACUUUAAAAUAUUUAGCAAACCAAAAAGACAUAAAACUUGAAAAUCUAUAAUACAUUGACAAUUUAAAUAAUUUGUAAAUGGAUGUCAAAAAAGAUAUUUUAGGUAAAUAAUUAUAUUCCAAACCCUUAGAAACAGGGUUUGAUCUUUAUAUUUUAUUUAAGAAUCCGACCUGAUAACCUAUUUUAAUCUAUUUGCACUUCUUAAAAGUUAGGGCUCAUAUUCUGACGACUUUAUAACGGCCGCUUUAGCUGACCCUAUGGCGCUAUAGCGGCCGCUAUAAACCAGAUCCGCUAUAUACCGCUUUAUAUAUUAUAGCGUAGCGGUAGCACAUAAUAUCCGCUAUAGCGGGUAUAGUGGCCUGUCACGGACUUCGCAUUUUUGUUCGCAAAGCCCAUGCGGCGCCCGCCUUUCUUCGUAGAGAUGGUCAAACCUUUGUCCCUAAUGUUAGCCCGGACCUUCGCGUUCGAUGACUGAGUAUGCAAAGGAAAGUAACGAGAGAGAGAGGCAGAGGUUAACCCAAAAAACUAAGUACUCCACUACUUAGAAAAGGAGGAUUACAGCAUAUAUACAUACUCUCUCUUGUGUGUUUUGGCCAUAGCCAAACCCUACUAUUUAUAGGCCUAAGGAUACAAUGAACCUAGCCACACAACACACCCACUAGCCCACACAUAAUGAGCACUCAUAAUUGCUAAAAGCCCAAGAGUCACACCAUAACUCCUGGCAGUUUUGCAACCCUUGAGUUUCCCACAUUGGGUUGGAUUCGAGCCUCCUUGACAACCUGGUUCAAUCCGUUUUCGCUUGCGGAGUUGGGCCAGGGACCGAGCUGCACAGAAUUUUUCUAAGUCCCUGACAAGCCGCUAUUUAAAUCAUUGACGGGAAGCUUUUCCGUUUCAUUUCUUGCGCCUAACAGGAGAGAACGUGGGUCGAACGUUUUCUAGAAAAUGUUCGACUCCCUCGUUACCCUAUAUAUUUCUUCCCAUGUUCUUACGCGGGAGGAUGACAGAUAUUGAAAGAAAAAAAAAAUAAAAAGAAUAGAGAUUUUCCCCCUUCGUUGAUUCUUCACUCCUUUGCAUAUUUUCUUAUUUACUGGGUGUUGAAAGAAUCUCCGUCGACCUCCGCCAUAAUCGUGCCCGCAGGAGGAGGAAUUUCGGUCGUAUGUUAGGAUGGUACUCUCAGUUAAUCCUGCACGUAGGACGGGAAUACGCCUUAAGGCAAUGCUGCGCACGUUUCCGGAUCAAUCAAAUUUUGUAAAUUUUUAGCGUUUAUCUGUAAGUUUAAUUUUGUCUUUAUCACUAAAUUAGUUAAGACUUUGACUAUAAUCAGAUUUGGCAGUACAUUUCUUCCGAACACUUGGCACGUAUUUGCAUCAAUCUCCAUCCAAUUAGCUGAUUCUGUCAGUGUACAAAAAAACCAACUACGCAGCGGUCAACUACCUCGAUCCAUACUGAAGGAAGAGAUCAGCUUCGACGUUAAACAAUCAAGCCCUUCAAACCAAAUCCAAUAAUAAUAACAAUAAUAACAAAUGGAAAGGAGAGGAGAGGAGAGGAGGGUGCAGUAGGAAAGGGGAAGGGGAAGAGGGGCGUACGAGCAGAGCCGCAGCCGACCAUGAGGACGCGGGCGGGAGUGGGGACGAACUUGCGGACGAAGGGGCGGAGAGCGGAGUAGCGCUGGUACCAGUCAAAGGCGGCGCCGCCUUCCUCCAUGUAGCGGAGGUCCCAGUAGAGGGGGUCGCCAUAGUUCAGGCUCUGCUUCUCCCUGCUGCGCCCAGAAACUUCUCCUCCUCCUCCUCCUCCUCCUCCGGUCCCGUACAUACUGCACCGCUCGCUCGAACGCUUCUGAUCGAUUGGUUGAUUGAUUGAUGAUUUCUUUUUACUAUUAGUAUUGUUGUUAUUAUUAUUAUCUUGUGGUCUAGACAGAGGGAAGGCCUCCUCUCCCCGGCCGAUUUUUAAUUUUCUGUGUCCGCUGUGCCACACGAAUUUUGAAAUCUAUUAAGAUAACGAUUUCUUCUAUUUUUUGUUUAUUUUUUUAUUUGUUAUUAAUUUUUUAAAUUUUCCAUUAGCUCUUUGCUUCCUUCAUUUGACUAAGAACUGCUUAUUUCUUAAAUACGUAUUAGUUCAGAUAUAACCACAAACUAUUAAGAUAUCGUUUAGUUCAGAGGUAAUUAGUAAAAAGUGGCUAUUUUAGGGAUAGGUAUAAAUUGAGGUAUAAGCGGGGAUUAGAUCAAUUUUACGUUUGGAUGAAAAUUGGAUUAUUUCUGAGAAUAAAAAAAAUAUCGUUUGGUUAGGUAAGAUGAAAUAAAAAAAAUAGUAGGUUUAUAAAUAAAAAAAAUAAUGAUAUUACUCUCUUAUUAUAUUUAAAUUUAAAUUUUUAAAUUUUUAAAUUUAAAAUUUUAACUUUGAAAUUUCAAAAUUUGAAAUUUAAAAUCUCAAAUUUUAAAUUCAAAAUUUUAAAUUUUAAAUUUCAAACUUUAAAUUUAAGAUCAAAUUUAAAUUUAAAAAUUUAAAAUAUUAAAUUUAAAUUUAAUUUUUAAUUUAUAAUUUAAAAUUAUAAACUUUAAUUUUGAGAUUAUAAUUAUAAAUUUUAAAUUUUAAAUUAUUAUUUUUUAAAUUUUUAAAAUAAAAUACGGGUGGCACAUUAAUAAAAUAAUUUAUUAUAAUAAAUUUAUAAUUUUUUUAAAAAUUCUACUUAAACUUAAAUUUUAAUAAAAGAAUUUAUUAUAAUAUUUAAAUAUAGUUUAUUAUAAUAUUUAAAUAUAAAUAAUAUGUAUUAAUAUAGUAAAUUAAUAAUUUUAUAAUAAAAAUAAUGUAUUAUAAUAUAUAAAUAUAAUAUUUAUAUAAUUUAGUUUUAUAAUUUAAUUUAUAAUUUUAAUUAAGUUUGAAAUUAAGCAUUGAAAUAACACUAUUCCAUCGAAAUGGUGGAAUGGCAAAUCCCUUGCUAUUCCGAAAUAACCGGAAUUAGCAAAGUUUGACCGGGAUAAAAUAUUCCGGCCAAAUUUCACUCCGUUUGGCGGAAUAGCGGGGAUAACUUUCGUUAUCCCCGCUUAUCCCCCGAACCAAACAGGGCCUAAGGGUAUAAAAAAAUUAAUAUUUGAAUAAAUAAUAUAGAAUAAGAAGAAUAGUGAAAAAAUAUAAGAGUGUGUUUGGUUCGAAGUCGGACUUGGUAUCGAAAUCAGAAUGAGAAUAAGCUUGGCAAAGGAAUCAAAAUGAUUCAUUAGCUCAUUCUGUUUGAUUCGCCACCUGAAUCGGAAUCGGCACGAACAAUUCCCAUUGUCGUUGUUUGGUUCGAUAUCAGAAACGUAUUCAAAUUAAUAUGUCAAUUUUAUCUUUAUAAUAUAUUAGUUUAAAUUCAAGCUAAAAAUUAAAUAUUAAAAAUUUAUAUCGAAAAUUUUAAAAUGAUGUCAAAAUUUUAAAUAUAUUUUUUUUAAAAAAAAUUUGAAAUUGAAUGGAUAAUUCAAAAUAUAAAACAAAAUUUCGAUUUAUUCAAAUUCAAACUUAAAUUAUGAUUUAAAUUUCAAUUUGAAUCUAUAAAUUUAAUUUAAAUUUUUUUAAAAAUGAAAUAAAAAUUUAGAUUUUAAAUUAAAUUUAAAUUUGAAUNAUAAUUCAAAAUAUAAAACUAAAUUUCGAUUUAUUCAAAUUCAAACUCAAAAUUAUAAUUUCAAUUUCAGAAUCCAUAAAUUUAAUUUAAAUUUUAAAUAAAAUUUGAAUAAAGCUUUAAAUUUUAAAUUAAAUUUAAAUUUAAAUUCAAAAUUAUAAAUUAGAUUCGAAAUGCUUGAUUGAAUUUGAAUUUUUAAGUUCAAAUUAAAAUUAAAAUGUAUAAAUACAUUUUAACUAGGUCAUAUUCAAUCGUAUACCACUCAUGAUAUGUCAUAAUGCCAAGUUCUAGUUACUUAACUAGAUCAUCUACAAGAACACGAAGUUCAUGCGAAAUGUUAUGAAUAGAAGUGAUAUGGGAAAUUUCACCAUGUUUGAUCUUGGAAUAGAAUUGCACUAAUUGUGCAACUUCCUGAUGAGCUUUGAUUCCUGGGGAUAGGUUGACAAUUGAGAUUUUACGUCGCUUCCUAUUAGUAUAUGAUAAUCUUUCAAAGCACAAGAUGUGUAUCGAGUAUAAUCUUUGGAUUUCACUUAUGGAUGGUUUUUGUUGGAAUCCUCCUUAGAGAAAGGAAUGAUUGAACUCCAUUCAUAAGAACAUGAUAGGAAGAGCUAGACUUCGGCCUCGACCCAUUUGAGGAAAGUGAGAAAUGAAACUUAGCCUUAAAAACAAUGGAUUUUGUGGAUAAUUGAGAGACCUGAUGAACAAGAGCUGGUAAAAAGAGGAACUUCCUACUAUAAGGAGGUGAUAUAAGUUCAAGGAACAAUGGUGGAAAAGGUAAAUUGCAAUGUGCUGAACUUUCAGAAUCGUGGAUUCCCCGUAAGAAGAUGCUUUGUACGAUCUAAUUGGUUCAAACUCUUUGGGAACGAAUUGGUGCGCUAUUUGAACGCAUUUCCCAUUUGUUUCGGAUGAUUUUGUGUUGUGAAUUAAGUUCUAGUUUCGCAAACGAAACUUCUUUUUAGGAGGGGAGAAUGUAGUACACUGAACUUUAGCAAAUUGCGAAGUUCGAAUGUUAGAAUAGUAAUUGAAACUAUUCUACAUCUUUUGAAGGGUUGUUGAGAGGUUUUCAGCAUGUUACUGAAGGGAUUAAGUGGUCGGAAGAGUGAAAGUGCAUUAGAAUUUCAAAAUGCAGAAUUUUGUAUAGAGUAUCGGUUCCAAUUCAGGGGAGUACCGGUACCCAGUGCAGCAGAAUGUGGAUAAGGGUCUUUUUGGUAAUUUUACUUUGAUGGUUAUCCAUUUAACCCCCAGCUCGACUUCCUCGGCUAGUUCUUAUCCAUUUUGGCUCAGGAAAAACAGGGUAAGCCCCUCUCUUUCUCUCUCUAAAACUUCUCUCUAUUUUUUAAUAGAAGUAAAUGGAAUUAGUUCUUUUCUCUUCUCUUCUUCAUGUUGGCUGAUGUUGUGAGCUGUGGGGGAGUUACGAAAGAGGUGACGGAGAGUCUCUGUGGUCAUAAACUCCAACCCUAGCUCAGGAAUUUGCUGAGCUUAAAGCUUUGGAUGGUGAGCAAACUAACCAUUCUCUAGUUUGAUAUAUUAGUAGUAGUAUUGGUGGUGUUUUUGAUGUUAGCUCACAGCAGGGUUAUGAAACUCUUUUAGUUGAGUUUUAUGAACUUUGUAGAUUGGAUUUGAUGUGCUUCAACCUGAGUUGGAGCUGUACAAGAUGAUUAGCUAAUUUCUCUCUCUAGUUUGAUGCUAAAGUAGUGGAUUUGAGCUUGUUCUUUGCUUCCUUAUUGCCAGCUGGUUUGGAGAAGUUUACAGCAGCUGUGGAGGUAUGGGAGGAAGUAUUUUGGCUAUGGUUCUUCAAUCCUAGCUCAGUAGAAACUGAGUUAGAACUUCGGAAGGUAAACUAGCUAGUGUUUUCACUAGUUUUGAGGUUGUAAUAAAUGUUUAAGUGGAGUUCAUGGUGUAAGUUCACAGCAGGUUAUUGGACCCCUUUGGCUGAGAUUUCUGAUCUUUGGAAGGUUGGUUUUGGUGUAUUCCAACCUGAAUUGAAGAGAAGAUUAAGUUUGGAUUCUAUACUAGGCACAAUUCUACCUAAGUGAGAUGUUUAUGUGAGGUAUUGUGUAGAAGUUUAAGUAAAACUUCUGUCACAACCCGCAACCACCCGCCCAUUUGGCCGGGUCGCGGCGUCGCCGACAGACCGCCGAACGGACAAAGUUUUUCCUGUACUGCGGGCAGAGUCUUCCCUGUACGUCCAAGGCGUCGCAAUCAAUAUAAUGUACGAAGUUCCAACUAAGAACACAUUUCAAUCAAAGAUUGCAUAAGGAAGUAUCAAAACAUAAUCAACUUGUUAUUACAAGCAUUCAUAUUCACUAGAUACAUUUUACAUCACAAUUACAUAUUACAUUCUUUUUAGCUUCCAAAUACAAUCUAGCUUUAACAAUAUUAUUACAACUUGAUUCUUUUCAUUUUCUUACAUCUCUAAGCAAGGCCGACUCAGGGUACCGCUAUCUCUGGUCUCGGUGAUGGGGCGCUAACUAUAGAACUACGCCCUCGCCUCGCGCCGCCGCGCCGCUCACGUGUAAACCUGUAACACCCCAAAACAACGUGGGGUGAGAACCAACUCCAUGGUUCCCAGUGGGUACGGCCACCCAAGGAAAAAGCUCAACCAAUAGGUCUAAUGAGGCACUGCAACAGGUUAGUCCAAUAACAUAUAACAGAUAUUUAAACAUUUAUUCGAUAUUGAACUACAUGUCAUGCCUUGCGAUAUGCAAUAUGAAACCAUGCAACUAUACAAGUAAAAUAAGUGAUUUUACUUUCUAUCGAAACCAUACAACUAUACAAGUAGAAUAAAUGAUUUUAGUUUCUAUCAUGCUAUCCAUACCUUUUCCAUAAGUUAUACAUCUUGUUACUUUACAUCAUUGGUUAUUUGCUCCUAAGGUUUUCCUCUCUACCCUAGCCAAGCUAACCACCCGACUCGGUCUCGAGUCAAUCACAUUGUAGUGCGUAUAUUCUUUGAAAAGUAACUCUUACUUGACCCAAUCUUACCGGUUAACCUUGUUAACCCCAAUAACUCAUAAUCCAAAUCCCUUUAACCGGGGAGGCUCCAAGCACUACCGAUCCGAGGGACCGUCUACGGGGAUCUCGCUCCCCGAAGUGACAAUUUCCGGAAACUCACCGCUUGAGGGGGAGCUACCACCCUCAAGUCAAGACUUAUCAUGAGUAUCGAUCGAAUCCCCAACUUGAGGAUACUUAGCCACUAGUCACAAUGCCACUUUUAUGAUAGGUUUUCUACCUAUUUGUUCAUGCCCCUUUUUAGGCCAUUCUUGUCUCAAUGCCACUCGUGGUUAAACUAUGUUUAACAACUAUAUUCUCUAUGCCAAACAAUGUCUCUAUUGUCAAUGUCACCUUUGUUUACUAUGUCCAAGUCCAACUCUCACAUUCACACAAUUAUAGGGUCCCAACAUACAUGUCCAUUAUAGUUCUACCAUUCUCUAUGUUCAACUACGUUAGAACAUGUCAUUGAAAGCAACCAAGGUUCACAUGUACUUAGCCCUAUCAUGCAUGAAUGAUACAAAAUAUAUAUAUACUCAAAUACCAUAAGUGUUUGCUAAGUUCAUGACACUAGGUUUACACUAUACUUGUUCAACCUAUGUUCAAGACACUAGGUUUAAUGCCACUUGAUGUCCAACCUAUGUUCUUUGACACUAGGUUCAUAUCAUCCAUGUUCAACCUAUGUCCAUCACUCUAGGUUUAGUGCCACUCGAUCUAAUGUAUAUAGAUUGUCCAUAUGCACAUUUUCAUUUCUUAACAUUAGUAUCUCUACAACAUAAUUAUCAAGUAUAUCUUAGUAUUAGCCAUAUGCUUACAUUUAGCAUUUUUAUGACAUGCAUCCAACUAACAUUAACCAAUACAUAUAUUCUAGCAUUUCUAUACCACAUCAUUCAUGUAUUUAUUUAGCAUCCUUUACAACUUAUCAUUAUACUUUACAACUAGCAUGUUCUCUACUUUUGUUAACAUGCAAAUGUCAUUUACCUCAUGCUUUUAACUAGCAUCAUUUAUAUUACAUCAUCAUGCAUUUCCUUUAGCAUUUACUACAUGCAUCCAUCUAGCAUUUAUAUGUAUCAACACGAAUUCACUUUACUUAGACAUACAGGCGACCUAGUCACUUCGGUAAGUACAACCCACCUCAAAUCGCUUUCCGAUUGCUUGUUGACACUUGCAAUCGGCCUCCUGCGGCACCCGGCACCCGGUUUGGCCCGAUCCCUUGCGCGACCACCCGAACGGCCUCCAAUCCACGAUCCGGAAAUUAAAGGUCUUCGGUUAUGUGCCACGGUACUUCAAAUCCAUUUUCAUGAGUUUACGAUGUCGCCUCGACCCUCCAGGCGGAAACGAAGCCUAAACGUCCGUUUCUUUAAUAACUUCACAACGGCUCGACAAAUCGCUGAACCGACUCCGCCAACGCAUUCGUUUACCUAGUAAUUAGGUUUACAGAGGGUCAAAUGAGAUCAAACUCUCAUAUUUACAAAACUAGCAUUUUUGAGCCCUAGAUUAUAACUAGGUAAAAAUUCAUUAUUUAGCUUCAUGAAUCAUGCAUUAACCAUCUAUUUAGCAUCCUAGGAUUUUUCUAAAUCCAUUCUUAGAGCAUAUAAUUAAGGCUCUAAAGAUCUACCAUGAGAGGGUUCAAGAAGCUCAUUUCAAGCCCUAGGUUUACAACUAGGCAAGAAAUCACUAAAUUGAUCCAUGAUUUGAGCAACAAUCAUCUAUUUAGCAUGCUAGAAUAGCUCUAAAUCCAUUCUUGGAGCUUAAAACCCAAACUAGAGAGAGAUGCCAUUAAAGCUCUUAAAGCUUACCUUCAAAGCUUGCUCUCCAAUGGCUAAAGAGGAAGAUGAAGAAGAUGACCUUCCUCCAAGCUUCAAUCUCCACCGAUUCCUUUAAUUUUGGGAGAGAUUUAGAGAGAGAAAGGGAGGGUUCUCUCUUUCCCUUUUCAUGCGUGUGUGUGUGGUUCGUGUGCGUGUGUGGUGUGCUCGGGCUGAGGGAGAAGAAGCAAAUGCUUCUUAUACACUUUAUAGCCCCUCAACACUAUUCACUCCAGGCAGUUUAGUAGUUCGGAACAGUCGGAGCCCUUCUGAAUGUCCGUUUGGGCUCAAAUUUGACAGGCAGGCUCGGUUUAACAUACUGAGUAAGAAUAUAUCUUAAGCUUUCAGUUUUGACCCCGUUUGGUCACCGAAAGCUGUACCGAACUGUAAUCUUUAUUAGAUAGUUAUCGGAUUUUAUUUUCCACCUUCCGGGUGUCAGAAUAAUAUGAAACUUUAAAUCCAGCCUCAUAAAAAUAAUUCUGGCUUAUCCUCCAGUUUUCAUAAUUUUCCGACACUGUACAUUUUCUGCUAAUUUAUCUGUCCCGUUUCCAACAGAAAAUUCUAAAUCUUCUAUUUUCAUUCCGAUUUCAGCACAAGUCACUUCUGACUUAUAUUUUACUUUUCUAAAUCCAAUAAAAAUAGUUUCUCACACUAUUUUUAUUUAUUUUUAUUUUUAUACCAAAAUCUGGUAUGUUACAGCUUCUAACUUAUUUAAU